rnacentral:lncRNA from 1 species
UGACCUCGAUCUCCCAAGCAUCCAACGUUUCCAAGCUUGAAUCCAACACGAGUGAUUCCACACUCAAGUUAAUUUCCCUAGUUACAAUUUUGGCCAAGGAGGGCCAUUCUCUCAAGAGAGAUGUUUCUAAGUGUUACACUUUCAUGUUCAACAAAAACUAAGACUAAAAAUCCUAAGAGGUUCUAUAUAUAGUGUAUUAUAAAAUGGAAUACAAAAUGACCACAAUACCCCUCAAGAGUGAGGUGCCCCUAAAGUGUAACUUAGGGGCUAUUUUUAGUGCAUUUAGGCCCUCUUUUAUACUUCACUUGUGCACUUCCUUGGACGGAUUCAAUAUGCACAUGGUCGUACUCCUAUCAUCCUCCCCUUCUUGAAAAGGAUUUGACCUCAAAUUCGUACCUUAUAAAUUAAGAGAAGACAAACAAGUACACAUCCUCAAGGUAUGAGAGGUUAGGGUUAGCAAAAAUAACACAUCAGCAUGUCAUGCUGAGGUGGGAAAAAUUUAAAGUAUAGCCACGAGUCCUUUGUUUUAAUCAUAAAAAUAUUAGUACAAUUGCUACAAAGGAAGUGGCUCGGAGAAGAAUCAAUACAAAAGGAAAAUAAGAUGAGAGUCGUCCUUUCCCACCCUAAGAUGGUACCCGGAUCAAAUGGAAACUUUAGCCAAGGGCCUAAGACGAGGCUAGCCCUUUCUUCCCCUAGAAUGUCACUCCUACAUUUACGCACAAAAACAUUUUCAUACACAUGAUCUCUAUGAACAAACCUAAUUACAAUGCUUUUACCACACAAAAUAUUCAAAGAGUCGUGCACAUUAUUAAGAUCAAUUCUAUAGACACCAUCACUAACUUGAGAAUUUUUAAGCAGUCCAUUUACAUGCUCAAGUAGUGAACUACAUUUUAGAGUAAAUUUAUCAUUAUGCACACUAAGAGUACUACCAAGAGUACUCAUUUCCGUGACUACACAUUCCUUGCCCAUAAGAGAACUCUCAUCUUCCAAGAAGAGAUUUUCAUCUUUAAGAGGAAUGUUGUCACACCAUAGUGGGUUUGCAUAUCGGUUAUAGCCUUCAAGGCAAGCUAUACCAUCAUUUUCACCACUAGGUUCAUUAGGAGUGCUUAUAUCAUCUUCAAACAAAACAUUAAACCUAAAGAGAGCAUGAUUUAUCUCACAGACAGAUUUGGAACUAGAAAGUGCUUCGCUCUCUAUAAGUUCACUAUCAAGUACCAAAGAUGUUUCAAUCUCCUCUUUACCUUGGUAUGGGUCGAGGUAGCCCACCUCUUCCUUUGGGAAGCUCUCGGCACAAGGUGUUUGGACAAGGGAAGUUGGAUUUUGUGGGAUAAGUUUAGGUAAUAAUUGGCGUAGCCUUUCCACGUGCCAUUUCAUUUCUUCAACAUCUCAUUAAUACGAUCAAGCGUGGUAUCAAGAUGAGUGACAACCACGGUACCUAAAGCAAAGGACAACAACAAACAAUAAAACAAACUUGUUAGUUCAAAAUUCCUCACCACACUCUCACUUUCAAUUUUACCUCACACUUGAUUUCACAAGUGUUGAAAAUCGGCUUGUACUUCGUGAGUGAUUGAGGGUCGAGUCUACUCUUGUCUGGAAUGAAUUUUAGUUUGAGUUGACUCAAAGAAAAUUUAUUUACAAACUUGAACCAACAAGAUACAACGAAUUCACAAAAGAGAAAAACACACAACAAGCGUUUAACAUGAAUGAACGAACACAAAGACUAAUUAGCAAUCUAGUAGAUGAGUACUAGUUUGCCAAUUAGUAUUGGAACCAACGAAAUUGAAACUAAGAAACAACAAACAGAAACUAUGAAAUCUAAAAUUUGAGCCAAAAUUUGAUGCGUAAAAAGUAACUUGAUGUGGCAGCCACGUAUUGGUUGCAUUCUUUCUAACGAAUUGUUAUUCUCAAAUAUUCAUGUCUUGAUCAAAAAUUUAAUUUGGAUUGGUGGAAUUUUGUUUCAGGAGGAAAAAAUAAGUCUUGAAGCCUUUUUCAAUUUUCAAGAAUUUGACUUUACUUGUACUUCUGCUUAAAACAUGGGUCCUUGAAUCAUGGAAAGUUGUUGGAAAGUGGUUGAGAUGUGAUUGAGUUGAUGGAUGAUGGUAUGUCUUUCAAGACUAACAAAGCUUCACCUUUUUCCCUUCACCUUUAUAGAUCUAAGGUUCACUUUAUUUUAACAAGCUAUGAAAGUUGUGAAGAACUUCAAGAUCAAAAUCAACAAUCACCAAGAACAACCAAAAACAAUCUCCAAGAACACCAACAAUUUCACACGACCAACUUUUAAUUUUCAGAAUACAAUAUCUUCAAAACUUGGCCAAGACAACUAAAACUUCAACAAAAUGGUUUUUAGGCCACCAAUGAAUAACAAUAUCACGUUGUCAGGCUUAUAACAACAACAAGAUGAAGGCCACAAGGCAAAAACAGUCCACCCAACAAUGUUUAACAACAAAUCGGCCAAGUUCAAGUUCACGACUACAACUUCAACAAAUACAAGCUCAAACUUAGAUUUAGACUCAAAGUGUUAGUGGAGAACAAAACUAACACUAAAACACUCAAUACAAGUAAAAAUCUCGGCCAAGACACAACAAGAACACAAUUUUUGGCCAAAAACACAAAAUGGAAAGAUUGUUCUUUUUCUGGAAUUUUCAGAUUUUAAUUUUUUUUUCAAGUGGGCUAGCCCAAUAUUUGAUCUUGUAGGAACAAUAUCAAGCCAUGCUUUGAUACCAAAUUAUACAAUAAAAACCACAAGAACACUAAACACACCCUAAACAGUCCACUAAUCAAAAGAAUUCUUGGACCGAUUGGAGACCUCACUCGAAUUUGACAAUGACAACAAUAAUAAUGAAAUGAAGAAAGUGUUUAUCACACCAAAACAAAAACAACAACAAUAAUAUGAAGACAAGAUGAACAACAACAAAGUAGUAACAAUAACAACACCUCAUGGGUUACAUUAAUAAAAACAAAAAACAACGAUUACAACAAACAAGAGGAUAGAUAGUUACACAAAAUGAAAGUGUAAUAUUAAAAACCCAAGAGCAUAUUCCACUCUUGGACCUUUAACAAUACACACAAUGAAUACCUAACUCCUACGUUGGCACAAGAGUAACCUCGAUCUCCAAGCAUCCAAUGUUUCCAAGCUUGAAUCCAACACGAGUGAUUUCACACUCAAGUUAAUUUUCCUAGUUAUAAGAAUAAAUUGAACCCCAAGUAGCAUGUGGUUAGAUAAGGUUUCAUGUGUAUAAGUUUCAUGUUUACUUAGUUGUGUUCUUGAAUUUCUUUGUAUGAAGAAGCCUAGAGAGCUACUGUAUUGUGUUCUUUAGAGCUGAAUUGGGUGAAUUAUAGAUAGAUGAUGUGAGCUCUUGGUCUAGUUUUAAAAAUUUUGUUAAGUUGUAAGGAUAUGCGAUUAGAGGUUUAAUGUUAGUAUGCUAAGUAGUGGAGAAUGGACUGUUAUGUGAUAAGGAGUGUGGAUGUGAAUGCUUAUGAGAGUGUGAGUUGUAUGGUGAUGUCUAUAAAGGCUAGCAAAAAUUAAGAGUGUCAUUCCCUGAAAGCAAUGCCUUCAGAGUAUAGUUUAUCAGGGGGAGUUUAGCGUCUAUGUGUAUGGUGAUACCCCCAUUGUGUUGAGUGUUAUGCUUGUAGAUUUAAUAGGAGAAUAUGUCCUCAAGUCUAGGAUCGUAACUUUGAUCUAAGAGGGAGAUGAUGAAUUAAGAUAGUUUUUGAAUUUUCUAGUAGUGUCAAUUUUAGGGAAGAGUCAUGAUAAAUCUAUUCUUAUUCAAUCCAACUCCUCCUAAUUCAAUUUAAGGGGACAUCUAUUAAUGUCUUAUGCAUUCAAGUCAUGCCUAUGCCCAAGGUCCACGUUAUCUAUGCGUCUUAUGCCAUGUUUCGACCUCUAAACUAGAAGUAAUGAUGUCUGAGUAGUCCAAAUUUUUCAAGUAUUCAAGCUCUAUGUUAUGAUGCUCAAGAUCCAUAAAUCCAUGUCUUAUGUCAUGCUUAGUUCUAAGAAACUAUGCCUUCUAUAUGUUACUGAUUCCUUAUGCCGGGACUAGCCCAAAGAGAUAAGGUUUAUGCAAACUUAUGGCCUUGUUCAGUUCUUAAAUGAGGAGCAAUAGCUCCUAGUAGAAAUCCUUGUCUCAAUCAUGGACUAUAAGAAUUCCAGCUUUAUGCUAUACAACUUAUGAUAUAUACGUCCAUGUUUCUCAAAGUGCCCAGUCCUAAAAACUCAUGUUGUGUUAUAUUUAUGCCCGAACAACUCUCUAUUUAUAAUCUAGAUGCUUGAUAUAUGAAGUACUUAGUGCCUAUUGUAUUGUAUCUUACAUCUCAUUUUCCACCUUGAGUAGUGCAAUAAGUAUAAGUUAUAAUUGAAUAGUGUUACUAUCAUUCUUGAUUCUUAUGCUUGGGUCCCUCAAUGACCCUCCAUAUGUUAGUAUGAUGGUGAUUAUGGAAGCAUAGUAAUGUCUUAGAUAAGGGAGUAUAUGUUUCUUAUGGUGUUAAAUUUUGUGUGAUUACUCGUGCCAAAAUUGUAAGUGAAGAAGGAGAUGAACUUUUGUUAUAUGAAACAGUUAGGAAUGGGGAAUAUGUAACAAAAAUAUUUGUGAGAGUAAGUGAAGUUGUUGAUUUAAUGGGGAGAUCCAUAAAGUGGGUGAAGUAAAGAUAGGCUUGAAUGUUGUGAUUGAUUAAAACAAAAAUCAAUAUGUUGUAUGGUUAGUACUCCUUGAUUUAAGACCUGAGGUUGUUUGAUUACAAUGAUAUUUCUAAAGGGGAUGUAGAGUAUAGGGUUCCAUAGAUUAAGCUUGCACUUUUUUACUCUGGGUUAGGUUUCAACAUGGAAGUACUAUGUAAUGAAACUCAAAAUCUUGUAGUCAGGUGUGUUGUGGGGGAAUUGUAAGUUGGAAAAGAUGAAGUAUGUUAUUUAUUAUUUGGGGCAUAGUCAAGUAGUGUCUCUAAGUGUAAGUUCUAUCGGUCAUAUCAUGUAGGAUUGAGGAUACCUCUAUUCAUAUAUUCUGUGAAAUCUUAUCUCAUGUUUAGUGUAAAUUUAAAUCAAGACACAUGUCCACCAAAUAAACUCAUACCUUAUGUUGUCAUGAUUAUGAUCCAUAAAACUUAUGUGCAAGGUCAUCUCUAUACCAAUUCUCAUUAUCUUACAUUCAAUGCUUACACGAUUCACUUGGUGGUGUCAUGAAGCUCCUCCUGAAUGCCUAUGUAGGAAAAAUUCCUAAAUUAAGGUUACAUUCUUUAUUCCAUGCUUCUACAACUUCAAAAACCUCCUACCCAUCAUUCGAGGAUGAAUGAUCCUAAUGGGGAGAUAAUGUAACACCCCACACUUUUGGACUAAAGUUGAACCGCUUUUCCUAUGUGUAUAGACCCGAACCCAAUGGUUUCUAGUUAGAAAUAAGUGUGAAUAAUAAUUCUUUAGUGUGAGAACAUUUUUGGAUAUGAGCAUACGUCAUAAAAAUCUCUUAGCUCAAAGUUAAGUUGAACACUUUCUUAUCGAUUGAGUUUUAGUCGAUGAUUUUUCUUGGGUCAACUUACAGUGAACUUUACUCCUAGAGUAUGAGGAUUUGUGUGACCCAUAAUAUAUAAAAUUAAAGACUUUUGAGUCUUAUUUCCAAUGCCACCGACUGUUCAUCAAUUCGAGUUCAUAGUAAAAAAUUAUGAGUGCUUGAGUGAGAUACCAUCCAGGGUCAGCGUGGGCCCUACGCCGCGGAGGAAUCGCCAAAGUAUAUUGUCUCGGGUUUCCUUUGUCCAUGCUCCGCAAACCCCAACCUUGAGAUUUUCUUUGUCUUGGCACCGCAAAGACUUUCGCAAUCGUAAUAAAAUAAUCUGUUUUAUUCUAUUUUAAGGGAGUUGAGGUCCUUUCACAUUCUAUAACCGUUCCUAAUCAUAUAUGGACGAAAUUUAGGUCUUAACACACGUUAUUUCACUUCUCAAAUCCCCAAAUCAUACUUCAUUAAGAAAAAAAGGAGAAAUUACCUAGGGUUUGAAGAUUUUAAUCUCCAAGGGUCGAAUUUCUCUACGUUCUCUUUGAUUUAAAGGUAUGUGGGACUAUCCUAAAUCUCAUGGGCAUGAGUACUAUGUUUUUACAAGCUUUAAAAUAUAUAAGUAUGUACGUAUUAUCGAUUUUGAAAUUGUUUGAAGAUCAUGCAUUAUGAACCCUGUUUUAUGAUGAAACUUUGUAUUUACUAUGGUGUUUUGAUGAAAUUGAGAAUUGAUUUGUGUUUAUACGUUGUGGAUUUUGAAGUGGUUGAGCUAUGAAUCCCAUUUUUAUGAUAAGGAUUAUGUAAUUGAUAAUUGUUGUUGGUUUUCAAAUGGAUAUAGAAAGGUUGAUAUUUCGAAUGCUCUUUUAUUAAAUUAUGGACUGAUUCCUUAUAUAUAUGAUUUUUCGAAGUGAACUUACUGUAUUUCAAAGAAAUGCUUUUGUUUCUCAUGAACUUGUGUAAAUUGUGAAAGAGAUAACCACCUAAAAGUUAUGUCUUUAAAGGAGAGUGUAUUAUAUAAGAUUUCAUGUGCUUUUGAAAUAAGAACUUUCAUGUGAUGUUUAAAUCAGUUUGGUGAUCAAAUAACAUGUUUUUAAAUAAAGGGCUAUAGACAUGAUAUGAUAUGACUUAUACGACUUGCAAGUCUUGGUAUGACGAUACCAAAUCAGAUAAAUAUCAUGACAGACUCAAAACAGAACAGACCAUAGACUAUUCAGAUUUCAUAUCAUGGUUUCAGUAAGAUGUAUGUUUUAAAAGACUAAAAAUGGGCUCUAAGAGAGUUAGAUGGUUACCCGAAGAAGGCAUGAGUUUAGAUAACUCAUGGUUCAAAACUGUAUUUUGCCGAUGCAGGUUUAUUAUGAAAAGGCAUGUUAGCAAGGAGCCAUAUCCUUUUACUAUUACACAAUAUGUCAGCAAGGAAACAUCUUUUUUGUUUAUUACGUACCCCAAUACUUGUGGCAAACUUGGAUUGGGAGCUUGGCCUCUGAGUCAAGGGCGGACCUAUGUAACCCGUGUGUAAUCAGAAUUAUAGGGUGUACCAUAUAGUUUAGAAGUAAAGCAAAGAGUCAAGUCAAAGUUUUGCAAGCAUGGAUUAGAGUAAUUUGCAUUUUUCCCAUAUGAUUUUAUGUAUAUGUUAUGAUAAAUUAUUGUCACAAUGCUCUCAAUUAUGUUACAUGAGAUAAACGUUAUUUUUGAGUUGUUCUAUAUACCAAUACUCUUCAAGUAUUGACCCCUCUCCCCCUAUAUUACAGGUUUUGAGGUAUAGUCCUGUGGUCCAUCACAUCAGUAGAACAAAUGGUAUAAUGACAGAGUUGGUGAGCCAUCCAUCUUUCAGAAGUCAUGUUAUUCACAUGUUUUUCUAAUUCAGUUUAUGGUCCAGUCGGGGGCCUUGUCCGGGCCUAGACAAUUAGUAUUCAGUAGUGGCCUCGUGGAUGAGUUUUGAUUGUUGUAUUGUCAUAACAUUAUUGACAUAAUUUGAUUUUCAGAUUUCCUUCAUUUCAGUAUAUCUUCCGCACUUUAAUUUAUGUAUGGAUUAUGAUUAUGAUAGUAUGAUAAGGGGUCUUACGCGUCUUUGUGGCUCGGGAUGCCCGUUGCGGCUAAAGCCUCGUUUCGAUCGUGAGUCGUGACAACCUUGUAAUUAAUUAGAGAUUUAAUUAUUUGAAUCUUAACUUAUAAAAUAUAAUGGAUCUAAAUGUUGGGUUCGAAUUCGAGAAGUUGUAACAGGCUGCUUAAUCCAUGACCAUCACAAAGUUGACCUAGUGCUCCUAGUCCCCAUUUCACACCUUCUCAAUUCUUUAUUCCCUAUAAAAUAAAAUAGUGCAACUAGCAUUACUUUUUUAUUAUCAUCAUAGAAGUGGCAAUGUGAAAGACAGCUUGCACAUUGUUAGAUCCAACUCUAGCGGUAAGUAAACUUAAUAAAUUGCAAAUGAUGUCAAUUUAUAGUUAAUAUAUCAAUCGUGGACUAAUUGGCUCAAUUAUUAAGCCAAGUUAGUCAUUUUAUAAUCAGGUCAUUCCCGUGAAUUUCCUGCUCAAACCAACAGUUUGUUUCAGCCUGUCUUUCAUGUAAUCAAUGGUGGAAUGCAACAUGCACAUAUCGGUUUAUAUGAAUUCAAUACUUUAAAUGUAUUUGGAGUAUAAAUUUAUAUAUAAAAUUCACUAAAAUUACAAUAAUACAGUAGGUUUGAUCGGUAAUUAUAAUAAUACAAUAAACUCAAAAUUAAAAAUCUUAAAAAUUAAACUCAUGAAAUUUAAAUCAUGAAUUCGUCUAUGCUAAUGCACACAAAACGAGUCUAGCAAAUUACAUAAUAUCAAACCUUAACUUAGUAUUAUUACUUAAAAUCUCAACUCUUUAAAAUAAUUAUAUAUAUAAAUUCCUUUUUUUUUCACUUAAUCUCUUUAAACCAUCGAAUACAUUACAAUUUAUCUCCAAAUCUCAAAUUCAAUUCAUUUUUUUCCUCCACAGCCAGCUUCUCACACAAAACCAAUCCCUUUAUCUUCUCUAUUUUCAGCCACUCACCCACUUGAAAAUCACUAAGCUUCGACCUCCCUCACACCCUCGUUCUUCCUCUCUUCUCCGGCCAACCAGACCCCAACACUAUUUUCUCUACCAUCUCCGACCUAACAACCACCGUCAGCUCACAUCUCUGAACAGUCCAAGGACGGUGAACCACCACCAUAAACGGAGGAAACGUUGGAGAAUUCUACAAAUUUAUGUAUCUGACGAAUUUUCAUGUUGUUGAUAUAUGAACUAAUGUAUCUGAUUGAUUAAUGCAAGAUGGCGAAGGACAUGAGGAUGCAUCACGGGACCGGCUAAAAAAAGUACAAAUAUUAUGUAUCAUACGAAUUUUUGUAUACAGAUACAUAAGAAUGAUUUAUUUGGUUAAUAAUUAUGAUACAAAAUUAUGUAUCGGAAUGCAUUUUUGUGUUAUUAAUACACCAAACUUUAAUUGAUUAGUUAUGUAUCGGCAAGUGAUGUAUCUGACACAAUGGGGCGUAUCAGCUUCAAAUUCAAAGAUUUUAUGUAAUUUAAAAAAGAGUAGAGAUAGAGAGUAAUUACCAACUAAGGGAUUGAAUUUAUAUAUAUAGCCCUUGUUGUGCACAAAUCCAAUAUUUAUAUCUUUUUAUUUUAAUAGAUGUGAUAAUCUUUUCUUCUUAAUAUAUUAAAAAAUGUCUUUUCUAUUUUUAGAAACAAUUUAUUUUUAUAAUUUUUAUUUUAUUUUUUAAUAAAAUAUUUUAUAAUCACACAAAAUUUAAGGUUUAUUUAUACCACAAAUUUUAAAAUAACAUUUCAUUUUUUCUACUCCAUGCUUAAUCAAAUGGUGUCACAUGAAUUGAAGUGAAAAAGUAGUAAAAACAAAUUAAAAUUUAAUUUUCUUGUUUACGUAUUUUCUACUUCAUUUAUUUGUAUAGACUAAAAAUUAAAAUUUUGAUUAUUCAGAUCUUAGCUAGUAAAGUAACCGUAUAUUUAACUUUUUUGUUUAAAUCCAAUCAUUCAGAUCUCAAUAAGUGCACAACUCUCAUACUCCCCUUUUGAUACAAAUAUAACUAUUGCAAAGUACUUCGUCUAAGCAUUUUUAAUUUAUUAUUUUGUAUCUAUUUUAUCCUUGUUAUUGAAUAUUGUCUAUUAUCUAAUACUUAAACGACUUAUAAUAACGAAUUAGAAGUUAUAUAAUAAAAUUACUAUAAAAAGUACUUGUGAACAAAAUUAAGUGAGUUCAUAUAAGUCGUAAAGUUACUUUAAAACAUCAAAAGUCCACUGAGUGAAUCUUAAAAAUAGACCCAAAUUGGGGUGACUUUCAAAUUUUAGCCCCAAAUAAAAAAGUUUCCUUAAAAUAGCCCUUAUCUAUUAACUAGUAUUUUUUCGACAAAAUUACCCCUGAUCAAUGGAGUAAAUUACAUAAAUGAUCUUCAUAAUGAAUAACAACUUCAUAUUUAUAUCUUUCAACUUUUAUUUUUUUUCUCUUUUUAAUUUUACUUUGAUUUUUAUUUUUUUUCUCUUUUUAUUUUUAACUUUCUCAACCCUUACCUUUUUCUUUUUUUCCUCUCAACUACUUUUUUCUUCUUUUUUAUUUUAUAUUAUUUUUAUUUUUAUUUUUUCUUUCCUCUUUCUUUUUUUAGUCUUUUUAGUUUUUCUCAAUUCUUACUUUUUUUUCUUUACACCUUUCAAUGUCUACGUUUAUAAAAAAAAAUAAUAUUUUUCUUUGAUUUUUCUUUUUUCUUUUUUCCUUUUUAAAUUUUUCUCGAUCUUUAUUUUUAUUUAAUCUUUCUUUUUUUUAUCAACCUUUAUUUUUUUCCUAUUCUCUCUCAACUUCUAUAUUUUCUUUAUUUUUUAAAUAUUUUUCUUCUUUUUUCACAUUUUUAAUUAUUUUUAUUCUUUUCUUCGAUUUCUUGCAUUCAAGUUACAUCUCAUGAGUAAGAGUUGACACUAUCACAUUAUAAAGGCAAGACUUACGACUUUCGAACAAUAAGCUACGUUUCAUGGGCAAGAGUUGACACCACUACAUUGUAGAGACAAGACUUAUGACUUUCAAACAACAAGUUAUAUUUCAUGGGCAAGAGUUGACACUACCACAUUGUAUUUUAAUUUAUGAGAUGUUUUAUAACUCUUACCUUAGAGGUAAGACUUAGCUCAGAAACUUUCAAACAACAAAUUAUACCCCACGAGCAAGAGUUGACUCUACCACAUUAUGUUUUCAUUUAUGAUAUGUUCUACAACUAUUGUCUUAGAGGCAGGACUUAGCUAAAGGACUUUCAAACAACAAAUUAUGCCCCACGGGCAAGAGUUUACUCUACCACAUUAUAUUUUUAUUUAUGAGAUGUUCUAUAACUAUUGUCUUAGAGACAAGACUUAGCUGAAGGACUUUCACACAACAAAUUAUGCCCCACAGGCAAGAGUUGACUCUACCACAUUAUAUUUUUAUUUAUGAGAUAUUCUAUAACUAUUGCCUUAGAGGCAAGACUUGACUUAAGGACUUUCAAACUACAAAUUAUGCCUCACGAGCAAGAGUUGACUUUACCACGUUAUGUUUUCAUUUAUGAGAUGUUCUACAACUAUUGCCUUAGAGGCAAGACUUAAUUGGCUCAAGGACUUUCAAACUACAAAUUAUGCCCCACGGGCAAGAGUUGACUCUACCACGUUAUAUUUUCAUUUAAGAGAUGUUCUACAACUAUUGCCUUAGAGGCAAGACUUAGCGCAAGGACUUUCAGACUACAAAUUAUGCCCCAUGGGAAAUAGUUGACACUACCAUGUUAUGUCUUCAUUUAUGAGAUGUUCUACAACUCUUACCUUAGAGGCAAGACUUAUCUUAAAGGCUCUCAAACUACAAAUUAUGCCCCACGAAAAAGAGUUGACACUACCACGUUAUGUCUUCAUUUUUGGGAUGUUCUACAAUCCAUGCCUUAGAGGCAAGACUUAUUUCAAGGACUUUCAAAUAAUAAAUUAUGCCUCACGGGCAAGAGUUGACACUACCAUGUUAUGUCUUCAUUUAUGGGAUGUUCUACAAUUCUUGCUUCAGAGGCAAGACUCAGCUCAAGGACUUUCAAAUAAUAAAUUAUGCCCCACGGGCAAGAUUUGACACUACCACAUUAUGUGUUUAUUUAUAAGAUAUUUUACAACUCUCGCCUUAGCGACACAACUUAUCUCAAGAAUUUUCAAAGAACUUCGUAACAACAAUUUAUGCCCUUAAAUUUGCUUUGAUAUAAAAAAAAAAGAUCCAUUUGCGGAUUAUCUAAUUUUUUAUUUAUUAGCAAAAUAUAAUACAAGUUGAGAAAAAGGAAAAAAAGAUCAAACAAUAAAAAAAAGGAAGAAAAAAAUAAAGAUCAAGAAAGAAGCGAAGAAUUUAAAAAAUUGAGAAAAAUAAAAAAUGAGAGGAAAAAUAAAAUAAAGUUUGAGAAAAAUAAGGAGAAAAAAGAGAACUGAAAAAAGAAAAAAGAGAUCAAACAAAAUAGAGAAAUAAAAAAAGAGUGAGAAAAAAAACAAGAAAAAAAAUAAAGAUUAAAAAAAACCAAAGAAUUAAAAAAAUUAAAAAAAAAUAAAAAUCAGAGGAAAAAAUAAAAAUAAAGUUUGAGAAAAAUGAGGGAAAAAAGAGAACUGAUAAAAACCGCAAAUAAAAGAAAAAUAAAGGUUAAAAACAAAUGAAUUAAAAAAAGAAAAAACAAGAAAUAGUUGAUGCUUGAGAAAAAAAAGGAGAAAAAAUAAAGGUUGAAACAAAUGAAUUAAAAUAUGAAAAUAAAAUUAUAGAAAAAAACAAAAUUGAAAAUAAUAAAAAAUAAAAUAAUAAAAUUAAAGAAAACAAUAAAAAUAAUAAAAAAUAGAAUAAUAAAAUUAAUGAAAAAAAUAAAAAAUAAAAAUUGAGAGACAAAAAAGUAUGGAAAGUUUUAAAAUUACAUUUAAGGUGUAGAAGGUCAAAAUGGUACUUGUACUAUAUUUAAAAAGUAAGAAAGAAUAUUCUUUAAAGACAUUUCUUAUUGAGGUCAAAUAUCUAAAGUCACCCAUAUUUGGGUUUAUAACAUGCAAUUUCCUGGAGUCGACUUAUCAUUUGCCUCUAUUUUACAUUUUUUAAUGAAAUAUUAUUAAAUUUUCUAAUGCUUAGAUGACCUAUAAUAAUUAAUUGAGUAUGAUAUAGUAAAUCACGAUUGAAGCAACGAAGCAAGCAUGUCAUAAAUGACUCAUAAUAACUAAUUAGAAGUAAUAUAACGAAAAAUUAUAAAAAAAACGUGUAAAAAAUUAAGUGAACCCCAUAUAAGACGUUAGGUUAAUUUAAAAUUUUAAAAAUUAAGUUAUCACUUUAUGUCUAUUUUAUUUUUUAUUAAAUAUUAUUAAUUUAUUUAAUACUUAGUUGACUUAUAAUAAUUAUUAGGGGUGAUUUAAUAAAUCACGAUUUAAGCAACCGAAGCAGACAUGUGAUAAAUGACUAUUUUACUUUUUUAAUUAAAUAUUAUUAAUUUUUUGAUACUUAAAUGACUUAUAAUAAUUAAUCACGGGUAAUGUAGUAAAAUGACGGAGCAAGCACGCCGACGGAGAGCAGCUUGUUUGCCACCCGACUCCCUCUUAUAUAAUAAAAGAAAUAAUUAAGUAGGGGUGAUAUAGUAAAAUCACGAUUUAAGCAGCUGAAGCAGAAUGUCAUAAAUGACUAUUUUUUACGUUUUUAAUUAAAUAUUAUUAAUUUUUUAAUACAUAAAUAACUUAUAAUAAUUAAUUAGGAGUAAUAUAGUAAAAUAACAGAGCAAGCACAUCGACGGAGUGCAGCUUGCUUGCCACCCAACUUCCUAUUAUAUAAUAAUUUUGAAAUUUAAUUUUCUUCUAUGCUUAUUUUAUGCUUCAUUUAUUUGUACCGACUAAAAAUUAAAAUUUUGAUAAUUCAGAUCUUAUUUUGUAACUACAUAUUUUUUUAUUUUUUUUUUGAAUCUAAUUAUUUAGAUCCCAAUAAGUGUACUUGUUCCAUACUCCCUUUUUACAUAGAUAUGGUUGUUGCAAAGUACUUUAUCUAAUCAUUUUUAAUUUAUCAUUUUGUAACUAUUUUAUCCUUAUUAUUAAAUAUUGUUUGUUGUCUAAUACUAAAAUGACUUAUAAUAACUAAUUAGAAGUCAUAUAGUAAAGUUACUAUAAAAAGUAUUUGUGAAAAUAAAUUAAGUGGCCCAUAUAAGUCGUCAAGUUAAUUUAAAACAUGAAGAAUUAACUUAUCAUUUUGUCUUUAUUUUACAUUUUUAUGAGAUAUUAUUAAUUUUCUAAUCCUUAGAUGACCUAUAAGAAUUAAUUGAGGAUGAUAUAGUAAAUAACGAUUGAAGCAACGAAGCGGGGCUGCCAUAAAUGACUCAUAAUAUCUAAUUACAAGUGAUAUAACAAAAAAAAUUAUAAAAAAUAUAUGUGAAAAAAAGUUUAAUUGGACCCCAUAUAAAACGUUAAAUUAAUUUAAAAAAUCAAAAAAAUUAAGUUAUCACUUUGUCUAUAUUAAUUUUUAGUAAAUAUUAUUAAUUUUUAAUACUUAGAUGACUUGUAAUAAUUAACUAGAAGUGAUAUAGUAAAAUCAUAAUUUAACUAGCUGAAGCAGGCAUAUCAUAAAUGAUUUUUUUAUUUUUUAAUUAAAUAUUAUUAAUUUUUAAUAAAUAAAUGACUUAUAAUAAUUAAUUAGGAGUAAUAUAGUAAAAUGAUGAAGCAAGCACGUGACGAAGAGCAACUUGCUUGCUGGCCAACUCCCUCUUGUAUAAAAAUAAUUAAUUAUGAGUGAUAUAUUUAAGCAACUGAAACAAAAAUGUCAUAAAUAAGUUAUAUAAUGGUAAGUUUUAUUAAGUAAAUACCAGUGAAACUUCAAUUUUCCUUUCAAUUUAUUUAACCUCUUGCCAUUUUUACCAUGUGAUAAUGUCAAUUUUAUCGAAAAAUAGAGCCUAAAUUGGUCCAAAUCCGUCCAAUUUACGGGACUUUGGAUUAAAAAAGACAAAUAAGUUGUCCAAUUAAGUAGAAGUAUUCCAAGUUUUUUAAAUUAGGUAGGAGAGACAAAAAAAAAUUUGAGGUUUUUUUUUAAAAAGUUUUUUCGUUCCAACAACUUGUCCUAAUUGUAGAACAACUUGGUAGUUGUUCGACAACUUUGCAAGGUUGUUCAACAACUACCAAGGUUGUUCAACAACUGAGCAAGUUGUUCAACAACUAGGCAAAGUUGUUCAGACAAUUAAUGUAAUUGUCCAACAACUAUCCUAGUUGUUCAAGGGACAAAUUUGUGGGAUCCACUUGUCCCCCUUUUUAAUUGGAAACUUGGAAAGCCCUUCUGGCUCAUUUUUCUCCCAAAUUUAGUUGAUGACCCAUCAUAAGGGACUUUCCAUUAAAAAGGACAAACAAAUUAUUCAAUUAAGUGAAAAUCCUCCAAAUUUUUUAAAUUAGGCAGGAGGGAUAAAAGUUUUUUGAGGUUUUUUUUUUUUAAGUUUUUCCAUUCCAACAACUUGUCCCAGUUGUAGAACAAUUUUGGUAGUUGUUCGACAACUAGGUGCAGUUUUGAAUUUAAAAAUGAAAAUUAUAGAUAAGCAAUUUUAUACCUCAUAUAAUCUAUAUUAAAAAAAAUAAAAUUAGAAGAUGUAUGUUCAUUAAAGGAUGUUACAUUUUUUGUGAAGUAGAGGAUCUAUACAAAACCAAUCAUGACAUAAAAUUAAAUGAACAUAAGGGGAUUAAUUUGACUAUAAAUUAUUAGUUUAUAUAAAGUAUAUAUUCAACCACAAGCCCCACACUAAUAAAAAGAAAGAUAAAAGCAAAGAAUUUUCCACUAUUAGAGGCUAUGAAAAAAAAUUAAUAUAAAACUCCCACUAAAUCAGUAUGCUUAGACAAAAUUAUAAGAGAAUAAAACAGAUAUACAAAAAUAAAAGAGAAAAGAAUCAAAUAUGUUAUUAGACUAUCAGAAAUGACUUAUUUAUACCAUCAGUUAAAAGUUUGGCCCAUUCAUGUCAUUGCCAUUACAAAAUUGGUUUAUCCAUGCCAUUAAUUUUUAACGGUGGUUUUCAAAAACAGCUUUGCCACGUGGCCUUUUAUUAAGGGUCCACAUCAUUAAUUAAAAUAAGAAAAAAGGCUCAAAUAUGCCAUUAAACUAUCAGAAAUGACUCAUUUAUGUCAUCCGUUAAAAGUUCAAGCUUAUUCAUGGCAUCGUCGUUAUAAAAUCAGCUCACCCAUAUCAUUACUUUUUAAUGGUAGAUUUUCAAAAAUAGUUUUGUCAUGUGGCCUUUUAUUAGAGGUCCGCGAAUUAAUUAAAAUAAAUCAAUAUUAAUUUCAAAAUAUCUUAGAUCCAUUAAAAAUAACCAAUUAAUUUAACAUAACCCGACCCACACCCAUUAAAUUAUUUUUUCCUACAAUAACAACUAUUUUUCUAAUCAGAAAAAAUAGUGAUUAAUGUAUAUCUUUUGACUAUUUCUAGUUGAUUCUAAAUCAUUAUAAAUGCUACGCUUAAUAGAAACCUCAAAAAUUCUAUCCUACAGUAACUGAUUAGUUUUAAUUUCAGUGACUCCAAUAUAUACUCCGAAGUUGCAAGAAAAUAAACCAAUGAACGAUUAGAGCAAGCAAGAAAAAAAAAGAGGCGUACCAAUAGAACUUCUCCAUUCUCCCAUCACGAAUUAGGGGAGUAUACAUUAUUGAAGAAAUCAUUUCCAAAUAACGACUUAAAAGAAGUCUGUCAUCCCAAUUAUCCCGCCACACAUAUGGAAUAACUUCUUCCGUCACGAAUUAGUGAAGCAUACAUUGUUGAAAAAUUAUUUUCAAAUAACGGCUUAAAAGAAGUCUGUUAUUCCAAUUAUCCCGCCAUGUAUAUGGGAUAACUUCUCCAGUCAUUAUGGUAUAAAUGCUGAAAUAAAUAAUCCUGAUACUAACUAAUUUCAGAUAUUUUGAAAUUAAUAUUGAUUUCUUUUAAUUAAUGAUUUGAACUUCUAAUAAAAGACCACGUAGCAAAGCUAUUUUUAAAAACCCAUCAUUAAAAAGUAAUGGCAUGAGUGAGUUGAUUUUAUAACGGUGAUGACAUGAAUGAACCAAACUUUUAACUGAUGACAUAAAUGAGUCAUUUCUGAUAGUUCAAUGGUAUAUUUGAGUUGUUUUGUUUAUUUUAAUUAAUGACGUGGAUCUCUAAUAAAAGGCCACGUGACAAAGUUGUUUUUGAAAACCAUCGUUAUAAAGUAAUGGCAUGGAUGAGUUGGUUUUGUAACGGCUAUGGCAUGAAUGAGUUCAACUUUUAACUGAUGUCAUAAAUGAGUCAUUUCUGAUAGUUCAGUGGCAUAUUACUCUCACCACCCUACUUUAUCUGAUAUAGUUAUAUUAUUUAAAGAGUUCACGAAAUUAUUGUAAUUAUUAUUUGGUUUCUAAAUAUGUUGGUUUUAUUUCAAAAAAUUUGAAGAGACGGCUUGACAUAUGACCUCCACGUCACACUACAACAACUUUAAUUACCAGUUACUCUAAGACUUUCGUUCAAUUUAAAUAUUAUUAUAUUCCAAUUCACACUAGAAAAUUAGAUAAUUAAUUUUUCAUACAUUGAAUUGGCUCACAUAUAAUGAGACGUAGAGCUUAAUAUAUAAGCCUCCCAUCAUAUCAAUAUCCAUAUACAAAAUUAGAAGGGAAUAAAACAGAUAUAAAGAAGGGGAAAAAAGGAAUAAAGCCAUAUAUUCUCAUAACAAUAUAAUAUAAAAAUUGAUUGACAGUAAUUAUAAGAGAAAAAGGCAUUAGUUACAAAUUUUAAAAGUCAAUUUAAUUAAUAGUUGCAUAAGAAAGUAAGAAUAACCAAAAAAAUAAAAAAUCAUAUAAAGCAUAAACAGGUUGCAUGCCAAAAGAAAGAAACAAAAGGGAGAACAAAAAAUAACCAAUAAAAUGUCAUGUCACGAUUUGAUUUAGUGAUCAAUAAAGUGAAUAAAAAUUAUGUGACAUUAGUAUUCAAAUUUCGAUCGAAGCAAAAAAAAAUGCUAUAGAUAAUUUCUUCCAAUUUGACAAAUCGUUAGAUUAAAAAUGGACUAAUUUAUACUAAAUAAUUCAAAAUACAGAAGUUAAAAAGAAACGACAUUUAUUAUACAAACAAAAAAAACAUCUUAUAUAUAAAAUAUACGUAAUUUUUUUUAGCAAAAAAGAUUCGAAUAAACUCUUUUUUUGCCCCUUAAGCUCCGCCCUUACUUGUGAAACAUAUAUAUACAACUAAUACUAUAAAGGGUUGUUUGGUGUGAGGUAUAAAGUAUAAUAAUUUCGCGAUAAAGUACAGGAUUAUUUUAUUCCACGUUUAGUUGGAGGUACUAGCUAGUAGUCAUGAGAUCAUUUAUCCCUCCAUUUAUGUCAUACUGAUGAGAUAAAUUAUCUCAUGUACAUGAUAGGAUAACUAAUCUAGGGAUAAUUCUUUCCCGACCAAAUUAUCCCUAUGAACUCGUUUAGUUGGGGAAACAACUUUCACUGGAUUGAUUAUUCCGGAAUUAGUUAUUCCGGGAUUGUUAUUCCAUCGUUAAUAUAGGAUAAAAAUAACACUACUAUUCCAGAAUAAUUAGUUCUACGAUUUUUUCCCAAUCAAAUAUGAAAUAAACUCAUUCUAAAAUUAGUUAUUUCUUACCCCUCACACCAAACGAACAAAAAUAAUCGAAGUACGCACAAACUUAGGCAAGUAUCAAUUAAAAAAACAAGACAAGAAAAAGAAAAAAGAAGACAUAGGGAUGGUAGUGAUUAACAACCUUAGGUAAUGUCAGAUGAUUUUCUUGAGCAGUUGAGGCCAUUGCUGUAAGAAGAAAUUGUUGAGUAAAUAUUUCCAACUAAAUUUUUCUUCAAUUUUUUUCUCUUUAUUUUUUCUUAGUCAUAACUAACAAAUUUAUUAUUAUGCACUUGUUUCUAUGAAGUACUUAUCAAAUUACAGUUUGUUGAAAGUUGGUAGUAUUAAAUUCACAUAAUUUAACAUUUAAUGAUAGUGUCAUCUAACAGAACUUAAUUGAAAUGUGUCAUACCAAAUUACUAUAGGAUGUUUUAGGGGUCAACUUUUAAUUAAUAAUCCCAAAAUACUAUAGUAUGUUUUAGGGGUCAACUUUUAAUUAAUAAUCCAUCCAUAGCAUUUUAAUUAUCACUUUAUCUUAAAAAUAUAUUUUAAAUCCUAAGAUACAAAGUUGUAAAUAUUAUAGUCGAUUUCUUCUAAUAUUUUUUUCGUUAGUAUAACUAAUGCAUUUAAUCUUUCUUGAAACAUACUUUAAAUACAUCAAAAUUCUUCUAUAAUUUUUUACUUUUAUAUUAAAAAAUUAUUUUUGGUACAAAUAAUAUUUAAUAAUUUUUUAAUAAAAAUCUAUAAUCUAUUAUUGUUAAAAAAAUGAGGCCCCUCAAAUUUGGAGGCCUUAGUCGGUUGCCUUUUUUCUAGAGGGGUUGAGUCGGCACUGCUCUAUUCGACGGACUAGUAUAUUAUGCGGGAUGUUUCAUUGAUGGUACACGAUUGGUGCUAGGCACUAGGCUUGAACUUUUGAUGUGGAUUGUAUGGAUAAGAAUGUUAACUCAAGAAUUGUGAUGCAAAAUUUGUGGAAAUAAAGUAGUAGGUCUGAUACAAUGUAGGAAAGAGCAUGGGUUGAUAACUUAUGAAAAAAUUAAGUAGAUAAUUGUGAUAUAAAUACAAGAGGACUAGUGUUAAAAUGAUGAAUUGCAGCUGAGUCAUUAGGUGGAUAAGAGCUUUAGGUUUAUAAGAAUAAAUUGAACCCCGGGUAGCAUGUGGUUAGAUAAGGUUUCAUGUGUAUAAGUUUCAUGUUUACUUAGUUGUGUUCUUGAAUUUCUUUGUAUGAAGAAGCCUAGAGAGCUACUAUAUGGUGUUCUUUAGAGCUGAAUUAGGUGAAAUAUAGAUAGAUGAUGUGAGCUCUUGAUUUAGUUUUAAAAAUUUUGUUAAGUUGUAAGGAUAUGCGAUUAGAGAUUUAAUGUUAGUAUGCUAAGUAGUGGAGAAUGGACUGUUAUGUGAUAAGGAGUGUGGAUGUGAAUGCUUAUGAGAGAGUGUGAGUUGUAUGGUGAUGUUUAUAAAGAUUAGCAAAAGUUAAGAGUGUCAUUCCCUGAAAGCAAUACCUUCAGAGUAUAGUUUAUCAGGGGGAGUUUAGUAUCUAUGUGUAUGGUGAUACCCCAUUGUGUUGAGUGUUAUGCUUGUAGAUUUAAUAGGAGAAUAUGUCAGCUUCUACCAGUUUUGGCCUUUUGGGUCAAGACUCAAGUGCACUUCUGGGGACUGAGCUGGAUGUUAAAAAAUAUUGUCUGCCCCAAGUACCCAAUCCCUCACCCCUUAAAAAUUUAGACGGGUUUGGAGGGUUGGGCUAAUAUUAGUUUGGAAAAAGGACAGAAACGACACUUUAAAUUAAACUAUUUUCAUAAAAAUGGUCAUGGAAUUUAAAUUACACUUUCUAGUCAUUUCAAUUUGCUGGCCUGUUCUAUACUAUUUCUAUACACCUUCUAUACAUAUUUUAUAUAUAUACAUAUUCCAUACGAAAAUUAUACAUUUUUGAUACACAAUUUAUACAAUAAUUGUACUUUUUUUUUUUUUUACACAUUUUAUACAACAAUUAUAUAAUUUUUAUACAUUUUCUAUAUAUUUUCUAUAUAUAUUUUAUACAUAUACAUAUUUGAUACAUAUAUCUUAUAUGAAUACAUAUUCUAUAUAAAAAUUAUAUCGCUUUUAUAUAAUUAUUAUUUCUAGACAAUAAAAAAAGAAAAAUAAUUUUUCAAUUAAAAAAUUUAUAGCAAAAAAAAACUAAAAUAUUUUUAAAAGGGCCGAAUGGCCCAAGUAGAAAAUUGUAUCAUUAUUGUAUAUGGACUGUAUCAGUAUUGUAUAUGAACUGUCUCUGAACUACGCGGCCAAAAUGACCCAAAUUAGGAAAUGACUAUAAAGUGGAAAUAGUAUACCCGACUGACCACUUUUUGGCAAGAUAUCAAACUUGGGCUAUUUAUUUUAGAAAGUGUUAUAGAGUGUGCAGCUUAGUUGCUUCUACUUUCUUCCUCUCUUUUUGUUUAAAGAAAAUUUUCUCAACUUCGAACACACUCAACGACUCAUAAAUCACACUUUAGUUUUUAGGAAGAAGAAUAUGUUUGUCACUUCAAAAUUUUGUGUAGUAACCUGAGGAAAAAUUCAGAUAUUUAUAGUCACUUCAGAAAAAGAAGCAAUGGUUCUUGAAUAGACGCACUGUUUUGGAUCAUCACCAAUCUGUGGAUCCUACCUGCACCCGCAUGUGGCCCACGUGCGGCCGUAGAUCGCUGUUUGUCAAGAAACAGAAUGUCACGCCUCACCUGCGAAGUCCAUCUGUGUCCGCAGAUGGUGACUUUCGUCCGCAGGUCGCGUUUCAGUUUUCAAAUAGUGCCUCAAAGGAUCGCGUCCCUUUGAGGAGCGUUGUUACAUGCGUCCGCACAUGUUUGGGUGCACCCGCAAAUGGAGAAAAAUGUAAUUUCAAAUUUUCGGAUUAAAACAUCACUAAUUUGCAAGUUUCAAAUAAAUUUUGUCCAAAAAGACAAUCUCUCGAUCAUUUUAACAUCAUGUUGCAAAUUACGAUGAUCUGAGGGAAGUUUAGAAUACUUAUAGUUAAAAAAAAGGGAAGCCCGGUGCACUAAACUACCGCUAUGCACGGUGUUUGGGGAGAAUACUUAUAGUUAGAGUUGCAAAAAUAAGAAGACUAUAUUGCACUCUGAUUUCUAAUGCAAUCCAUUUGAUUACAUGUUUAAAAAAGGGGCCUUUGAUGAAGUGGUUGGGUUUGAUGAGGAAGCUGACAAAGUGAUCAAGCGGCUUUUUGUAGGACCAGAAUAUCUGGACGUUGUCCCAUUAGUGGGUAUGCCCGGUCUUGGAAAAACAAGGAAAAUCUACCAUGAUAUAUAGUACAGUACUCUUUGCUAAAAUUUUGUUUGCAUGGCUAUAUUCUUUUCCAUUGGGAAUCUAUUUUCUAUCUCUAGACUAUACAUAUCAUAUUUAGUAGAAUAUCCAUUAACGCUAUAUCUUUGGUACUUUAUGUCAAUUCUUGUUGCAUAUAGCAAUUUGCAAAACACUAAUUCUUCCCUUGCAUUCUGAAUGCACUUAACAGGAUUGCUUUGAGUGAUUCAGUGAUUUCUUUCUAAACCUAUCUGAAACAGCUUUCCUUUGUUUCCCUGUUAAUUUCAUUUACUAGUUUUCCUCGAUUCUGCAGGAGAAAAAUCGAAACUUCGAUCUGAGUUCAUGUAUGUGAUGUCACGGCAUUUCCUGUUUUCUCUGUCGUCCGGUCUUAUCCUGAUAAGAUUGUUCUUCCAAUAAAGAAAACCUGUUUGUCUUUUGCUUAUUCAAGAAUGGUGAAUUUGAAGUUUGCUUCCUGUAGUUGUUACUUUUCAACUUUCUGAUCAUGUAGAAUGUUUGCUUCUUUCUUUUAUGUUUGUAUUUGGUUUGUUUCAUUCUUGUAAAACAGUUGUUUUAUCUUUCAUUGUUUUGUUGGAAGACAUGUUAUUCCAUUCCAAUAAAGUGCUGUGAGUUAUAUUUCCAACUUGAAAAUUUUCAGAUGAAUUAUAGUUAUUUUUGAAUCGGAAGGUUUCAAGUUCAAAUUACGAAACCAUAAAUUUGCAAAUUGAAUUCUAGUUCUUGUGCUUUGAAGCUUUCUAAGUCAUUAAAUACAAAGAUAUUUACUUGCUCGUAUAAAGGAAAUUCAUCCCAAAUUUAGUUGCUUUCCAGAUACGUUCAGUUGCAGUCUGAGCCUCCAGCAACUGACAGUACAGGAAUGAAUUGAUUUCGAGAGGGUUCAACAAGAUAUAUCGCUAUGUGGUAUAAUCUCAUACUGUAAGAAUUGAAAGAAAAUUACGGAAAAGAAAUAUAAACGAAUUACGAAAAAUUUUCUUCUCCUUUUUCUUGAAUGAAUAAUAACUUGGUUCGUACAAUGUCCUACAUAUAAAAGUAAAGUAACUGACUUAAGACUCCUAAACAAGGUACAAAAUAACUCAUGGAUACACUUUUAAGUAAAGGUAGAAAAAUAAGGAUACACAAAAGAUUUACCUAGAUUGUACAAAAGAAAUAAAAUAAUAUGCACAAGGGUUUGCUAAUCCAACAUGUUAAGGCAAACCCAAGAGCCAUAUAGGCCAUCAUUGAAUAGUGUUGAGGUUAGCCCAAGUCAUGUAUUGCAGCAGCAGGCGAAUGAUGAAAUGAGUAAAUCAAUCUGGUUCAAUGAACAAAAUGCAGUAUUAUCUCAACACAUACAUCUAUUCCGUCAAGUGAUUUUCAUUGUAUGGUGAUUAUCGAAGAUCCAGACUAACUUCAGAAUGUCAGGUAAAUAUUAGAAGAAGUUAGCAAGAUUGUUAAGAGAACUUUAUCCCCAAUCCCUGAAAGAAAUAUGCAACAGCUGUGCAUCUAGUUUGGACUUUUUAAAUCUUAGUUGGUGGAGACUUUUUUUCCCUUGUCUGAAGUAUUUCUGUUACUGUUAUUAGGCAAAUGAAAGUAUAAUUUUCUCGAUCACUGCAAGGCUGACUAACUGUGGAUGAGUUCCUCGAAACACAAAAAGAAAGAAGGCAUAACAACUAUAAUAAGCAAAAUACGGUAAUCACACCGUCCGUGAUUCUUUCAUGGAUGGAUGCAAAAUCUCUCCCAUCGUCAUCAACUCAUUUCCAAUUUCAGAAGAACAAGAGAUGAUAUAGAGUAGUUGCAGCUAUACAUUUAAGGAAGAUAACUAAAUCUUUUUGAUUCUAUUUUCACCAGUGGCGGAGCCACAGCCGACGAAGGGUGGUCAGAUGAACACCCUUCGUCGGAAAUUUUUUUCGAGUAUAUAGGUUAAAUAUAGAUAUUUAUGGUUAUAUACAUGUUGUUGCACACCCUUGACAUGCUAGAGAAGCAUAGUCCAGUGGUCAAGAGUACAUUUCCGCAUCAACAACUCGGGUUCGAACCUUGGCAGAUGCAGCAUGAGUGACAAGAAGAUCAUCUCUUUGUUCAAUUCAAUUUAUCUUACAUUGAACUAGUGUAUUAUCAUUCUUGUUCUGUUUCCAACUUUCAAAAGGAGCUUCUUCUUAAUGAUGCAAUAGUAUCUGAAUAGUGUGGAUUCAUUUUAACUUGAAUGUCCAAGUUUCAAAAGGGAAAGUCUAUAUGCAACAGACCUAGCCUUAUUUCAAAAUCACAACACUCCGGUUAUUUUUCUGAUAACCACCGGCUUCCAACAAGCUUAGGCUGCAUUUGUUUUUUUCAAGAUUCAGACGUCUGAAUCUGAAUGAUUAAAAUGUUGUCUCUAGAUCUGAAAACUGAAUGACUAAGACUAUUUGUUUUUCAACAUCUGAAUGUACAAAAAAAAAUUAUUUGUAUAUAUAAUAAAAUUAAAAAUACAAUUCAAACAAAAAAACUAAUUAUAUAUUAGAAAAGUAUGUAAUUUAAUACAACAAAAUUAUUAUUUGAUUGAAAAAAAAUAGUUAUGUUUGUUAGUGAUAGUGGAGAUGGUUUAAAUGGUGAUUGCGGUGACAAUGAUUGAUGUUAGUGAUUAGUAGUGAUAGUUGUGAUGGUUAGUAUUGUAGUGACUGUUAUGAUGGUGGCGGUUGAUAGUGGUGGUGGUGGUUGUGAUGUGACAUUGCUUGAUGUUAGUAGUUGGGGGUGUUGAUUGUGAUGGCUGAAAAAUGAAUGAAUGAAUGAAUGAUGGUUGACGAUGUGUUGGUACUAGUUGGAGAUAUUGUUAGUUGUGAUGGUGGAGAUAGUUGUUAGUAGAGAUAAAUUAUAGCGAUGAUAGUGAUUGAAGUGAUGGUAGAGAUGGCGUUACUAGUGACAAUAAUGGUGGUCGCCGAAGAAUAUGUGGAGGUUGUGAUGUAUUAGUGGUAGUUAGCGGCGAUGCUAGCUAUGAUAUAUAAGUUGGUCGAUAGUAGGGAUUGGGCGGUAGUGGUUGAUAAUGGUGGUGUUGUUGAAGGUGGUUGUGACGUUAAAUAUAAUUAGAAUAAUAGAGAUAGUAGGUGUGGUAGCGGUUGACAAUAGUGGUUGGUAGCGAUAUUUGUUGUCGAUGGUGGUUGUGAUGGUAGAGGUGUUUGGUGGUGGUGGGUGGUGGUUGAUAAUGAUGGCGAUGACAGAGGUGGUGACUGAUGAUUAUGAAUAGAGUGUCAGUGAAUAUUAUCCAAGACCAGAAUACUUCUUCAGACCUAUUAAGACUUGAUUCUAGAUCUGAAUGAUUAAGACCUAUUAAGAGUUAAAAUCUUAAUAAAAAAUAAAUGCACUUAAUGGUCUGAAGUAUGAACCAUUCAGAUUCAAACCUCCAUUAAGUGCAAACAAAUGAGUGUCCAAGUUCGUUCUCUCCGGCAUAAAGGAGGAACAUUAGUUGUUGAAGUGUGCUGUUAGAAAGACCAUACUUUUAUUAUUUAAUUAUAUUCUUAACAUAUGUCCCCUCAUGUGCGGGUGUGAUUCUCUUUCAUGGGCUAAGCACGUGAAACACUUGUAUUAUUUGAUUAUAUUCUCAACAUUAGUAAAUAAAAAAUAGAAACAAAGAGAGGAAAAUUAUAGCAGAUAGUAUCAAAUAAACCACUAAUAAAUUAUAUACCCAAGAAUCCAUACAGUAUAGUAUCCAGAAGAUUAAGGAAUGACUUCCAAUGUGAGUAAUGUUUAAAUCAUAUAGAAUUUUCCUAAUUUUGACUUUUUAUCGCGUGGGAAAUUGAAUUAUCUUUCCAACGAUACCCAUUUUACCAAAAAUCGACAUCGAAGUAAAAAGUUAUGGACGUUUUACAGAGAACUAUCCGAACUGCUCAGGAGCGACGGGCAGGCCGACGGACCGCCGAGCCAGCGAUGGACCUCGCUCCGACCGUCACAACCGAGGCAGUAAAGUCAUUCACUGGCCAAGUACGACGGUCAGGCCGAAGGACCGUCGAGCUAGCGAUGGACCGUCGCCCAAGCCGUCGCAGUUAAGGCAGUAAGUCCUUAUUCUAGCCCAGGUGCGACGGUCAGACCGACGGAUCGUCGAGCCAGCGCCGGACCGUCGCACUAGCAGUCACAGAUCCUGUUCAGCAAUUUAAAGUCAUUUUUAAAAGGGCUUUUAAAACUUUUUCCAGCCUUUUUAAUACCUAGAUAUAUCAAAACGAAGCAUAGAACUUCAGAUUCAUCCAAAGCAUCAAGAACUAGGGUUUUCUCUCAAGAUUAACCCUCAAGAGCAAGACCCAAUUCCUUCUCCAAGAUUUCACCAUAGUUUUUGCAAUUGAUUUAAGAUUCAAGGUUUCCAAGUCAAAAUCUUCAAGAACCCUCACUCAAGAGUACGAAAAAGAGUCUCAAGCAAGCUUGUUCAUUUAGAUUCAUAAUUUAAGGUAUGUGGGGUUUGAACAAGGACAAUCCUUUCGUCCUUGUGCCCAAAACUUAUCUUUAAUUACAAAGAUACAUGAUUUUACAUGUUUUCUUAUGGAAUUGAAGUUUGGGUUUGUACCCUAUAUUGUUAUUCUUGAGAUUAUGAUGAUUUCAAUGUUUUAGAAAUUGAAGUACAUGAGUAUGUUGAGGUUAUAAGGCAUAUUGCUGAAAAUUUCAGAUUUCUAUAUGAAUUAUGAAUCUUUAUAAUAUCUAGUAUGCAUUUUGAUAUGUCUUAACCUGAGAUUGAAUUAUGGGUCAUUAAGCCCCACUUAAGAUUGAAAUUUUAAGAACUUUUGUGCUAUAAGCACCCUUGAUUUGAGUAUUUUGAGGUUUUCGAGAAAGUUUUGACCUUGAUGGUCAUAGUAGCUUUGAAAUCCACUUCACUGAAUGAGAUUACAGAUUUUGUAGUUGGUUUCAUUAUAAACCAUGAGAUUAUUAAAUGUGGAUUUCCAUGAUAUGAGCAUAGCUAAUUAAAAAGGGAGUAGUAUUUAGCACUGAGUCGGGUAAGUUACUACGAUUUCAUACCCCAAAACUACGUGCCACCGUAGGAUUGAGAUUUAUGGGCCCAAGGCCGAGAUAGUGAUCACUGAGUUGAGGUUAUACUCCCUGGCAAGAGUAUGACACCUCUCCCUAACGUGAGGUUUCUUCCUUCAGAGGACAAAACGUUGGACUCCAUGUAACUCGUAUGGUGUAUGUCGGUUAAGAGAACCGCCCUGCUAGCAAAAGUAAAUAAACAACUUUUGAGUAUUUUUCUCUAAAGUUUUGAAAGAUUUCCUUAUCAGUAUAGAUUUUUAGAUACUAAGUGUAAAGGCUCACAAGCUUAUUCAGAUACAGUUUUACUUGAGAUUUCAGUUUCAAAGUUACAGUCUUAACUUUCAGAUAUAGAGGUGAGCACUUUACCACUUAGUCUAUAUGUUUUGAGAAUGGAAUAGAACUAUAGAUUUUAGAAAUAAGUAUACCGACUCACUAGAUUUGUACUAUGCGUUUCGUUAUUCAUAAUUUAUGAGAUUUACAUUUCUAGAGUUAUUCAAGCUAUAUGAGUCAGUUAUAUCAACAUGCAUCAUUUCUAUAAAGAUUGAUGAUAUUGUAGUUUUAAUUAUUGGAUACACCCCCAUAUACUCAGUACAUCCUCAAAGUGCUAAUCCACAUAUACGUUUGUGUGCUACAUUAUCUCAUAAUGUAGGUUCAGGUGCUCAGUCUCAGCAGCGUCAGUGAUCUCCGAGUGUUUUGUCUACAUUUCCACAGUGGUGAGUCCUCAUGGUUCGAGGACCUGUUUUGCAAAUUUUCAGUAUUAUUAGUAGCUGGUUUUGUUGAUUUCAGAUCGAGUCAGUUAGGGAUCUAUCCCAAUGGCUCUCUAGUUCUUGAGUAGUAGAGGCUUUGUCAGACUAGACUAUCGGUAUGUUUAGACUUUCAGUAUUUUGACUGUUCAGACAAGUAUUCAUUUGUAUUCUAGUAUGAUCAUAAUAUGACAUGUUUCGUUGUUUUGAUAUAAUUAGCAUUGAAGUAAGUUUCUAGACUCAGUAGCAGGCUCAAAGGGUUAGCUUGGGGCUACUUGUAGCCUUAAGCACCAUGUGACGCCUCAGGAUGAGAUUUCGGGGCAUUACAAUAUAAUACUUAAAUGACUUAUACUAACUAAUUAGAAGUCAUAUAGUAAAAUUACUAUAAAAAGCACUUGUGAAAAAAAAUUAAGUGGACCUCAUAUAAGUCGUCAAGUUAAUUUAAAACAUCAAGAAUCAGCUUAUCAUUGUCUCUAUUUUACAUUUUUUAUGAAAUAUUAUUAAUUGUCUAAUGCUUAGCUGACCUAUAAUAAUUAAUUGAGGAUGAUAUAAUAAAUCACGAUUGAAGCAACGAAGCAAGCAUAUCAUAAAUGAUUCAUAACAACUAAUUAGAAGUGAUAUAACAAAAAAAUAUAAAAAAUACUUGUAAAAAAAAUUUAAGUGGCAUCAUAUAAGACGUCAAGUUAAUUUAAAAUAUCAAAACUAAGUUAUCACUUUAUGUCUAUUUUUUUUAUUAAACAUUAUUAAUUUUUUAAUACUUAGAUGACUUAGAAUAAUUAUUAACGGUGAUUUAGUAAAAUCACAAUUUAAGUAGCUGAAGCAGACAUGUGAUAAAUGACUAUUUUCCUUUUUUAAUUAAAUAUUAUUAAUUUUUUGAUACAUAAAUGACUUAUAAUAAUUAAUUAGGGGUAAUGUAGUAAAAUGACGGAGCAAGUACGCCGACGGAAAGUAGCUUGCUUGUCGCCCAACUCCGUCUUAAAUAUUAAGAGAAAUAAUUAACUAUAAAUUACACAAGCCCACAACUUAUGUUUCAUUUAUUACAAAAAAAUCUUAUCUCCCUAAACAUAGUACAAUUAUCCCACUUUUUACCUUUCUCUCUCCAAAAAUACAUAUACGAAGAAUUCUCGUCUACUCUCGUGUUUUUCCCCUUAAAAAAAGGCUAGAAUCAAGGUCAGUUACCAUAUUUUGAAAUCAACCUUGUUUGAGUCCAUAUUUAAUGAUAUUUUGUGGGAGAUAUCAAGAAAACAUAAUCCUCAAUCCCAUAAGAUCGUUUAGGUACACCUUUUCUGAUACUCUUACGUAAUUGAAGUUCAGAAUCCUCAAUAGGAUUUCGGGAUUCAUGACUCCUACUUGGACCAAGAAUCAUUUCUUGAUCAGUUGAAUUAUCAAGCAUGUCUUGCGACAUUAUUUGAUCAUCUGAAUUCAACAUUUCGUAAAGAGGCUCAUUUUCCUUUAUUUCAUUCCUUUUUGAAAAAUUAUUUUUCAGGAAUGUGAUAUCUCGUGAUUCAAUUUCAGUAGUACUUACAUAUUCCAAUUCACCAAUGAACACAUAUCCUUUGGAGUGUUCUGAGUAUUUUAUAAAGAUACAUUUAUUUUCUUUUGGACUUAGUUUUUCAAACUUAUCAGAACGAUCUUUAAUAUAUGCAGCACAACCCCAAGGUCGAGAUCAUUAAAGUUUGAUUUAUUACCAGUUCAUAGUUCAUAAGGAGUAGAAGAUACUGAUUUAGAAGGCACUUUAUUCAAUUUGUAGACUGCAGUUAAUAACACAUCUCCCCAGAAAGAGAUUGGUAAAUUUGCUUGUGCCAUCAUGGACCUUGUCAUAUCCAACAAUGUUCUAUUCCUUCUUUCAGCUACACCAUUUUGUUGAGGUGUAUAAGGAGUAGUCAAUUGUCUGAUAAUGCCUUUUUCAAUACACAGUUCUUCAAACUGUUUUGAAAGAUAUUCACGUCCUCUAUCGGUUCUUAAUAUCUCUAUACUUUUGUCUAAUUGAUUCUCAACUUCAUUCAUAUAUCUUUUGAAGCAUUCAAGUGCUUCUGAUUUAUGAGAUAUCAAAUAGAUAUAACCAAAGCGCGUGAAAUCGUCAAUAAAUGUAAUGAAAUAUGAAGCACCGGUCCUUUCCCUCACAUUCAUUGGACCACAAAUAUCAAAAUGGAUUAAUUGUAAUGGGAAUUCGGCUUUUUUAGCCUUCCCAAAUAAUUUACGUAUAAUUUUUUCAUCAAGACAAUUUUGACAAGUUGGCAUUUCAAUUUUGAAGAAAGAACCUAGAUGUCCUUACUUUGCCAAUCUAUUCAUUCAAUCUUGUCCUAUGUGACCCAAUCUGACAUGCCAUGUAAGUAUAUCAAUAUUAUUAUUACUUGAAUAACAUGAAAUUACACAACGGUCACUAUAAUAGUCAUAAGUUGAAGGAUUACAAUCUAAAAUAAUAAAGCGAUCAUAACGAUGUCCAAAACCAUAAAAUAUAUUAUCUAGAGUAAUUCUUACACAAUUAUGACUAAAGAACAAAUGAAAACCAACAUCUAAAAGAACAGACGCAGACACGAAGUUUCAUUGAAUUUGGCAAUUGUAGCACUUCAUCUUGCUCCUGUCUUUCUUCUUGAAAAACUUUUUUCCUUUCUUGGAGUUUGGCUUGUUCUUUUUCUCAGAUGGUCCUUCUUCGGUCUCUUUACCCUUUCUGCUCUUUUUAAUCUUGAAUCCUAAAGAGUUCUUACCACUUGAUUCUGCCAUAAAGGCAUUAGAAGCAGCUUUAGCAGCACCAAGUCGCUCAUCUUCAAGUUCAACAUAACGUGCAACAUCAGAAAAAGUUUUGAUGUUGGCAUUGUGGAUUAAGUUGACCUUUAGGUAUUCCCAACUGUUGGGAAGAGAUCGAAUCACUGCUUGAACCUGCUGCUCAUCCGAGAGAAUGUGAUCAGCACUUUUGAGUUGAGCUAUCAUAUUCGACAUCACCCUAAGGUGUUGUUUGAUGUUAUGAUCAUGACGCUUCUUAUACGUGUCAAACUUGAUAGUUAUUUGUAUAAGGCGGGUGACAGAAGUACCCUCAUAUGUUCUUCGUAAGUGUGCCCAAAUGGCAUUGGCAGUAGGAAAUUCCUCAUACUCAUGUAUGAGGUCAUCAACCACAGAACUUACAAUGAUUCCACGUGCAAUGGAAUUAACUUUUUUCCAAUUCUUAUAAGCUUCAAGGUCUCUUCUGCGUUGUGCAGUGUUACCCUCUUCCGGUAGACACAUGACAUGGUUAACACUUUCAAGAGCAUUUUGCUCUUUCAGCACAUACCACAUUUUACGACUCCAAAUGUCAUACUUGUCACCAUUUAGUUUUUCUUCUUUGUUCAAGUCAUCAAUUAUGCUUUUUGAUGCCAUAUCUGUUAUUAAGAUAUAAUUAUGCGAGUGUGUUAUCAAUUACACAUGCAAAUUAGACAUUUAAGCAAAUCAUUUCACCUAAAGGUUUCAUGUUUAGUGUAAAAUCGAAAGGACACUUAAGAAUCCAAUCAUCAUAUACGAACUAAACACUUGACCAAAAUUAGAAAUUAAUUUCUUAAUGUGUAUUAGGAUGAUAACUUUCAAUUAAGUCAUUUUAAACUCAAAUAAAUGAAUGAAAUUCUCGUAAAAAGAGAUAAACAACAUAAUAUAUAUAUAUAUAUAUAUAAAGCUCGCUAGGCCAAAUCUCGCGGUAAAAAUUAAUUAAUCUCUCUCCCCAAGGAUCACGAAGAGAAUUUGCUAAAAUAGCUAAUGCUUCCCAAUCCGAGAUUUCUAUAUAUUUUUCUAGUUCUACACGUUUCAUUUCAAACAGAUGUAUAAAACUAGCAACACUAAUGUUAGGUGACAUUUUAAAAGACUUGAACUCUUUUAAUUUCUUUCCUCUUCGUAUAGCUGUCAUUCAGUAACAGAUUUUGUGUCGCCUUGGGGACACCAUUUCGUAUGAUCUCACGACCUUAAAAAUAUGCCCUUCGACGACGUGCUCUUCUACCUUGUCUCUUUGCUCAACAUCCAGAACUCCCACUUGGAGUGAUUCGAGUUUGUCCCCGUUCAGCCAUUUCUGAAAUAGGAACCAAGAAACAAUAAGAAUGGAUUUACCACUCAAUAUGACACUUAUGUCACAAUUCAUCAUAGAUGACAAAAUCUGUUAAAAUUAUUAUGGACUAAUUAAGGCAAAAAAAAAUAUCAAGUCUAAUUCAACCACUUAUAUCACCAAAAAUAUUAAUAGUUAUUUUUAAUACCUUAAAGGGGAAUCUAUUACUAUUCAUGAAGUAACAUGAAAAAGAUCUGUAUAUAAAAAAAUAUACAGCAGCAGUAAUAUAAUAUUUUCUACCCUUUUCCCUUUUAAUUUAAUAGUUUAAAAAAAAAUAUAAUUUGACCAGAGGCACCAAAGGCACGUUUUUCAAAACAACAACAAUAUUAAAGUAGUGUCUUAAAAUUGGAUUUUCUCCAUUAUCUUUUUCAGAGAAACAAUCUUCUGCAUAUAUCUUUUACCCUUCCUCUUUUUUUUUUUAAUAUUAAUCAACAAUACUUCACUCUUGUUAGAAAAGGAAAAUAAAAAUCAUAUAUGGGAUCCUUAAGAUGAAGAAGAAACCAAAAAAAAAUUAUCAUCCAGAUCUGAAAAAAUGCAACAGCAGUGUGUCUGGUUCCAGAUUCCGGCGUGAAAAAAAAAUUUCGCCGGAAUCAUCCGUCCCUCGUCGGAUUCAGCCAUUCCAAAUCUAAAAAACCAUUUUCCAUCACCGGAUCCACCCACCAACGGUGAAACCGUCGCCAGAAACGGUCUGGAGACCCCAUAAUCGGCAACCAACAGCCGCUGUCCAUUUGACCGGAUAAGUAGAGUCUGACCGGACUAGCGGUGCGUCUGAUCAGAGACCGGUGGAGCGUCUGAUCGGAGACCAAAUUUUUACAGGUAAUUUAUAAUUUUUUUUCUAGAGUUUUUACACACUUAACUCGAGAAAUAACAUUAAAACAGGAUAAUUCAACCUAUGCUCUGAUACUAUUGUUAAAAAAAUUCAGAGCAAAAUCAGUGUUUACCUUUUUCUAUUGCAGCGGAAGAAGAUGAUUUUGCCACCGAAAUAAUUGCUCCAAGUCAAUUUCAUUUCUCUUGGAAACGGAAUGUAAAUCCACAAACUAAAUGCUUACCAUUUAGUGUUUUUGUUGAUGCAGUAUUUUUCUCUUUAGUUCUGAUUUUGUCACACACUUUGUUGAAGAAGAAAACUCAAAAUAUAAGGGGUGUGGAACAGUUUUUCUUUUGAAAAUGUUCCCCCCAAAAUUCAAAAUUUAGUCUUUGAUUUUCUUUUUUCAUAUAAAUAAGAAAACGGGUCGGGCCGAUUCACAUGGACGACCCAUGACCCAAAAUAUCCAACAAAAGGAGAUUUAUCCCAAGUUUAGUUGUUUUCCGGACACAUUCAGUUGCAGUGUGAGCCUUUUAACGAUUGACAGUACAAGAAUAAAUUGAUAAUGAGAGGGUUCAAUUAGAUAUAUCGCUAUGUGGUAUAACCUCAUACUGUAAGAAUUGAAAGAAAAUUACGGAAUAGCAACUAUAAUAGGCAAAAUAUGGUAAUCACACUGUUUGUAGAUCUCUUUCAUGGAUGAAUGCAAAUGAACAAUACAUUUAAGGAACUAUACAUUUCCAAUUUCAUUAACUCAUUUCCAAUUUCAGAAGAACAAGAGAUAAUAUAGAGUAGUCGCAACUAUACAUUUAAGGAAGAUAACUAAAUCUUACUGAUUCUCUUUUCACUAGUACUCAUGAGUGACAAAUGAACAGUCUCAUUGUUCAAAUCAAUUAUCUUACAUUAAACUAGUGCAUUAUCAUUCUUGUUCUGUUUCCAACUUUCAAAAGGAGCCUUCUUUUUUAUGAUGCAGUAGUAUCUGAAUACUGUGGAUUCAUUUUAACUUGAACCAUUCCAACUCAAAAAUAAUUAACUCGAAUUUAUCUGAAAGCUACGAUAUCAAGUUAAUUUGGUCAAAACGAACUCGGAUAGAAAAUCCAACUUCGCCAAAAGGAGCCUUCUUUUUUUAAUCUUUUUUGACCAUUUGUCCAUUCUUUCACCUUUGACUCUUGAGAGUAAAUCCUAAAAUAGUGUGGGAGUUUCAAAGUAAAGCUUAUGGAAGCUUGGGAAGCUAGAUUAAUAUCUAUUACUUGAUUCUAUUACAGAUUUAAGGUAGGAAUUCACUGUUUACUUAGUAAUUUCUUGAUUAGUUUUUUAAAACCCGAAAAAUCUUACAGUUUGAUUUUAAAUUUCAAUUUCACUUCUUUUCACUUGAAUAAUAUUUUAAUAUUGUAAUUACUAAUUUUUCAUAAUUAAACCUUCAAAACAACUAUGAUUCUUGAUUUUAACCCCAAUUUCAAAGAUUUUACCCGGUAAAGUUUAAAAAUAAUUUUUCUUCAAUUUGAACCUUGUUUUUAACUCAAUUUGACUUGGAUUUUCAGCUCUAGGUUUCUAGAAAUAUGAAAAAUACAUUUUAAAAUUAUGAUUUUUUCCUUCAUUUUUGGAAAAUCAAUUUUGGGGGUCCAUUUUGACUCCGAACAAAAAAUAGUCAAUAUGAGUGUCGUUGGUUUUAUUUUGACACAUAAAUUGCAUAUUUGAUAUUUUUAGUGAAGUUCGGGAUCAUUCAUGAAAAUUAAGAUCGUGGGUUCGAAGUGUAGCAGACCUGUUUUGGUUUUUGAGGUAGGUUAUGUCUUAACUCUUUUAGACUGGUUGGAUAGUAAAUGAUGGUAUAAAAUGCAUGUUAAGGAUGGGAACUAAUCAUGAAAAAUUGACAUCUAUGUGUUGUGCCCGUGCAGGGGCCUAUACGUGAUGCAAUUUUCAAAAUUGAGAUUAUAUGAUGUGUGUGAUUGUGUGGGGUCCUACGUGAUAUUGAUGGCCCUGAAUAUAUGUGAAUAAUUGUAUUGUGUUGUUGAAAUGCCUAAUGUGGUAGCAUUUGUGUAUUAUAAUAUAUUCAUACUUGUUGGUAUAUGAGACAUGUAAAUUCAUGGAUGAAACAAAAAUAAUAAGUAGAUAUUGACUCACAUGGUUGUGAAAAUAUAUCAUCGUUAUUGGUUGUGGAAAUGUAUCAUUGUGGUUGGUUGUGGAAAUAUAGCAUAUGGUUGGUUGUGGAAAUACUCAUUGUGAUUGGUUGUGAGCAUUACAUCCUCACAUCAUACUUAUUCAUGAAACAUUGGUACCACAGUGGCAACACCUGAGUAAUACUGGCAAUAUUUCUUUAAAAUCCUCUCCGAGGGAUGUGCCGGAGAGAAGAUAUUGUAACACCUUAUAAAAUUCUUUUCAAGGGAUGUACCGAAAAAGUGAUAUGAGAUAUGUGGAUUGUAUAGAUGUUGAUGAAUCCCUGUGGAUCCUACAUCAGAAAGCUUUAGCUCCGUAGCUGUAUACAAGGAUUGUACAAUGAUCCCGAAGGUUGUGCGACAACCUUGUGCAUCAUUAUCAUUAUCAUCAUUAUUGCAUUUACUCUAUUGUGUUAUGUUGCGUUGUAUUGCCAUAUUGACUUGUCAUAUAUGUAUUUGUCGUAUCUUUCUUUACUUGUAUUGAUGAUCUUGUAUAUAUGUGUGAUACAAUGUGUACUUGUGUUCUAUCUUGGUGUGAUGUUGCGAUAUAUGAGAUAUAUUAGAACUGUUAGUGCUAGUGGUGUAGGCUACCAUUGUGGGAUAUUUUCUGGUUAUAAGUGACAUGCCCUUAGUGUGUAUUUUGUAUGCUUUAUUUUCUACUUUGCUCGGUCGUCCUAUGAUACCUAAUGAGUACAAGUAUACCAUACUCACUCUGACUUCACCCUUUCGGUGCAGCUUUAGGUUUGGGUGCACCUCAGACUGGUUGAUUUCAGGCAUCUUCAGAUUUCUCAAGGUAGCGGUUGGACAUUUAUAUGUCUGGAGUUCACCUCUAUCUUUCUAUAUUAGUUAUGUCUUUGUUAGUGUUCGGGGACAGAUAUUUUUCUUUGUGGUUAUUUUUUUGAUAAUUUGACUCUGAAAUUGUAUUAGUAGUUCUUAUACUAUUGACACCAGGUUUUGGGAGUCAUGGUUGCAUGUGUUAAUUUUAUUCUUUUCACUUUUAUUAUAUCUAUGUGGCUCGGCUUCAUUCUAGAAGCCUUACCUUGGGGGUAUUUCUGUCUUUUCCCCAUGUGUAUUAGUUUGGGUGAGAGGCUUACUUGUCAAGGUUCGUCGUGACAAGUGUCAUCAUGACCUAUUGAAUUUCUUAUCGUAACACUUUUGCUGCCCAAACAUCAUCUAAAUAGAUAAGACAAUGGUCUACCUCCUUUCUUGAUAUACCCACCUAUCCCCUUAGCCAAUGUGUCCACAUCCUCAUCUUGAUAAUCUUGGAUAUGUCUUGUGAAGAAUUUGAUAAUAUUAAGAAAAACAUUAUUUAUUUUGUAAAAUUGGCCAAUGUAAACCCAAAGGAUGCUGAAAUAUCAUUUGAAAACUUAUAAUCAUGGUAGAUUUUACUUGCUAGUAUGGUUUUUCCAAGUCCUGGCAUACCCAGACCACUGGGAUAAUACCGAGAUCUUCUGAUUCUUUAACAAUUUGCUUGAAGAGCUUGAUUACUUUGACAAAGUUCCUUGACUUGCUCAUGGAUGCCUUUAAUCUCAACUGCAAAAUUCUUAAUGGUAGACAAAUUAUGGGGCCAUCUAAAAACCUUCCCAUUGUGCUUUUGAAACACCCUAGGUUUGGGACUCUUAGAAACUUUUUUGGAUUUUUGGUUUCUGGACAAGAUACGACUAAGGAAUACCAGUCGUAUGAUGGGGUACGAUUUGUAUGGGUGGUUCGUAUGCUGACUAGUGUUGGUUGGUGGGUUGGAUUAGUUUCUGGAAUGGGUACGACUUGGGUUGGUACGAGUCGUAUAGGUUUGGUUUGGGUAUUUCCUUUACUUAACCUUAGACUUGGUAGCUUAACUUGGAUCUGAGUACGAGUGGCACACCAUGAGCAGUAAGCCAGAGUAUGAUUCGUACUAUGGACUCGUAUGGUGGACAGUGUUCAAACCUCUUGUGAUUCUAUUCUUCUAGGGGUACGAGUCAAAGGUACAGGUCGUAUGCUUUGGGUACGACUUGGUUUGGAUGAGUCAUACCUUGGAGAGUAUUGGGUCCAAGGGGGAGUCCUAGGGUACGAGUGAUGGGUACCACUCGUAUUGGAAGGUACGACCGGUAUGGUUAGUUGUACCCUCCUGACGGGAAUUUUAUGUAGUUUAGGUGAGGGCAAUCUGGACAUUUUUUCACUUAACCUAAUAAGGCCCCAUGAUUUUUAACACACUUGGGAGGUUAUUUGCCCUAUUAUUCUAUUCUUUAAUGCUUAGAAAACCCUCUCAAACACUCUCUAAUCCUUUCUAAAGUUCUUGGGUAAAGAAAGCUAGGGUUUUAUCUUAAGAAUUAAUUUGGGCUUGUGUUAGUGAUUUCUCUCCAUCAGCUACUCAAUUUAAGGCAUGUACUCCUUCCCUCAUUGUUAGUUCCAACUAAAGGCAUAUUUUGUAAAUUGUUUUCAUGGCAUAAUUGUUAUAUGGUUUGGGGUUUUCAAAUAAAUAUUGGGGUUUUUGGUUAUAAUGGCUUGGUUAUGGUUUUUCAUGUUUUAAUUAUGUAUUUACAUGUUUUAAUGGUGGUUUGGAUACUUGGUUGCAUGGGAAUGGUUAAUUGGUAUUUGAUUUUGAUUUGGAAACACUAUGCCCCCAAUAUGUUUGAUAAAAUGCCUAUGAGAAUGCUUUUACUAUAUUGUUGGACUUUUUAAAUGGAACUAUUGCAUGGUAUGGUUUGGUAAUGGAACCUUAAGUGGUUUAAAUGGUUUAGAAUAGUUAAAUGGAAUGGUUUGGUGUUCAUGGUUAUGGUUAAUUAUACUCCUUGUGGGGUACAAUAAAAUCUCCCAAGUAAACAUGUUAAUGAAUAACUUGUGGGGUACAAUAAAAUCUCCCAAGUAAACAUGUUAAUGAAUAACUUGUGGGGUACAUGGGACUCUCCCAAUCAAACAUAAUAAUGGAAUUUUUGUGAGGUACAUGGGACUCCCCCCAAAUUAACUUAAAGGUAUAAUCUAUGGGUACAUAGGAAUCCCUUUACACUAAGGUUGGAUAAGGACAAUACUUUCAAGUUAUAGUCGGUAUGAGGAUACCACUAUUAAUAGCCUUGGUUAAUAAUAAAUAGGAUAACGAAUUGGUUGGUUAAAAAUGGUUUUAAUUGGGCAAUAAUGGUGGAGUGUGAUAGUUAACCAUGAAGGUAGGAGUUCAAUGAAUGAACAUUGGAAAUUCAUGUUUGCCGACAUGAGGGGUUGGUCAUGGAGACCAUAUAUGAUACUAUGAGGUAAACGGGGAGCCUCUAAGUAUAUUGUACAUAUGUAUAAUAGAGAGUAUGGGUACUCGGGAAUCCCCUACUCUUAUGCUAUCUUCGGUUCGUGCAGCUACAUCCAUCAGGGCCCGUUCAUGGGGUUACACUUCAUGGGGUUACACUGGAUCCAUAUAGUCUGUGGGUGGUUUUGGAUGGUAAGCUAUACAUACCCAGGUUAAUGUUUUUAAAUUCAUACUUGUAAUUCCCCGAGAGUACACCCUGGGUGCUACACGGUGCUUAUAGCCCCAAAGGAUCACAAGCUAACCUAUGUUGGUACCUGCUGUGAACACUAAAUAAAAUAACAAGGAACAUGUGCGAAAUUUAACUGGAAUUCCAUAAGGUUUCAAAUACGAAAAACAAUACUGAAUCGUAAUACUAAAAACAACUGUUUGAAGAUUGAUAAACUGAAAGCAACUAAUUGACUAAAAAUGUCUAAAAGCCUCUAAAUCAGACUGACCGUGGAGUUGAUAGGACAAGCCCCCAACUAACUCCAACUGACUAAAUGAUUGAACUACUAACACAACUGAAUAUAAGGUAACUCGUCCUUGAAGGAUGAGGACUCACCACUGCUGCUGCUACUAAUACCCUAGAAAAUCUAAGUAUGAUUGGGAAUCUGAGCAUCCGAACCUAUUAUAGCACAAGAAAUGAGUAUGUGAUAGUACUUUGAAUAUACUGGUAUGCUAAAUGAGUUUAGGAUAAUAUGCAUGGGCUUAUGUACGCGAGUAAUAACUGACUGGAUGCACAAAAUGAGAUACUGAGUAAGAAUGCAUGCAAGCUAUAAAGACUGAGAAUGCAUGACCAAGCAUAAAACCAGUUCUGAAAUAGUCCGUAAACUGAAAUACCAAAAUCUGAUAACUAAAUAACUGAUAAACUAUAUGCUAUGGUCAAGCAAGACUUAACUGAAUUCUGAACUAAGUACUGGAACCGAAACUAUGGGAGCUAUCAUCUAACCGACAUUCCCCAAUAUAAACUGAUUGGGGUCUAACCUGUAACCCCAGUUGGAAGGGUGUUAGUACUAUGCCACGGGUUACUAACAAUGGUUGGGUCAACCCUAAUCUGGCAGGAAGACUCAUGAGAUAUAUAUAUAUAUAUNNNNNNNNNNNNNNNNNNNNNNNNNNNNNNNNNNNNNNNNUGCCCCUGUUCCUGGGUUCGCUCGAUCUGAAUCCUACUCCCAACUGAAUAUAUUCCGAUUACUAGACUGGGCUAAGCUUGAUCGAACUCGCACUAACCAUGUUAAUUGACCGAGUAUUACUGCUCAAGAUAUGACUGAGACCCUUCUGUAACUACUAAAAACUAAGUACACAGCUAAAUUUCAGGUAUCAUAACCCCAGGACUCGAUAGAACAAUAAUAGGAACACGUGAAAUCCUUGAAAACCAUAAUAGGGAAUCACUACUCAGAAUCCAUCACUUUGGCAUUUCAUUAAACACAUGGAAGACAUGAAUUUAAACAUAGGAAUACCUUUAAACAUGAUAAGAUAGAAUAAUCACAUGACAAAAUCAUAAACGGAGGAUUUAUUCUGAAUUCUCAUGAACAUGAUAUGGAAACAAUAAUAUUUAAAAUAUACUAUAAUGUAUUCCACUUGAAACAAUUUAUAAUCUUAACUUGAAAUUCGAACGGUAAGAAAUUCAUAGACUUUAAACAUGGGAAUGAGUGAAACAUGUGGGAAUAACAUAAUUGCAAUACUAAAAUCAUACUUUUAGCGAUUUAACAAUGAAAUUUCAUACUUCAAACGUGUAAAGGUUGCUUUCAAUGAAAAUAGAUUGUAAAUAUCAUGUAUAAUUGAAUUUUAUAAAAUCUUCAUAGAGAUAAAUCAUUAUAAAUAUGUAAUUUCAUAGUUUAAAACAUAAAAGAUGGAUUCUUAGACUCCAUGGGUGAAAAGAGCCCAUGGAUGAACAUCUAACAUACCUUGAAACUUAAAUCUUGAAUGAGAAUAACUUUCUUGAAAGCUUUCUUGGAUUGGAACACUUGAGUUCUUGGUUUUCUUGAAGGAAGGGCUUGAAUCUUGAAGAGGCUAGGGUUUUUCUUUUAAUAGAAAAGAUGAACAAUAGUGUGUAUAUUGCCUUUGGAGGCUGAAAUUAUAUGUUAUGGAUGAGUUGGGGUUGAGGAAAAGACUUAUUUUCCCUUUAAAACGCUAAAACAGAAACUAAAAAAUAGGUACGGGCGACAAAGCGCGCAUCGCGGGCUAAUCGCACGCCCUCAUUGCCUCUCUCACGAAAAUGGCUAUAACUUUUCGCUCGUGUAUCAGAUUAAGGCAAAAUUGGUAUCGUUGGAAAGAUGACUCAAUUAUCUAUAAUUUGGUAGGUCUUGAGAUGAAAAAUUUUAUGUAUAUAAAAAUUUAUACACGUUCAAAGUAUACCCUUGUAGAAUCAAAUACCAAACUCUGGAUGAAUCAAAGGAUCUUAGCUCAACUUUGUUCUAAAAGAUUUUUAUGAAAAUUUUUCACCUCAAAAUCACUUCACACACUAGGAUAAAGAUCAUGACAUGUGUAUUCAAAAUGAAUUCAUGGAAUUAUAGUCAACACACGUAAGAACGACGCUUUAAAAUCUAGCCCAAAAAUACGGGAUAUUACAAUACUAAAUCUGGUUCCCUUUCACAGCAUGGUGUUAUAUAUAUAUAUAUAUAUAUAUAUAUAUAUAUAUAUAUAUAUGUGUGUGUGUGUGUGUGUGUGUGUGUGUGUGUGUGUGUAUGUAUGUAUGGUUUAUUUCCAUAUGGUUGGUUUACUUGGUUUUACUAGUUGGCAUUAUUUUAUCCCUAUCCUGAGUACUUGCUAGCGUUCACCCGCUAACCUCUCUGUGGUUGUAUUCCCACGUGAUGCAGGAACUGGCAAUUCUACUCCUCCUACUUAGUGCUCGAAUUCUCGGGAUCAGCUAUUGGAUUGAAGUGGUAAGCUUUCAUCUUUUCUGAAGGCUCCAUUUUAUAUUGUAGACAUUUUCAUAUACUUUGGUUUAUUUAUGGAUAUGGUUGGGGCAUGUCCCAACCGGAUAUUGGUUUUCUUUUGAUUAGAGGCUAUUGUGGAACUUUUAUGGGUUGGCAUGGGCAGGAUCGGUAUUGGUGUCAGCUUUAGUAUUGGUAUUGGUAAUGGGGCUGACACCCUUGGACAAAAUUUCUCAUUGUUCCAUCUUUUUAUGUUAUGUUAUGGAACUUGGUUUGGUUAUUAUUUUGGUUUUGGUUUAUGGUUUGGUUAUGAUUAUCGGUUGGUUUGGGUCGGUUGGAAUCAGUUGGGUCGGUCAUGGUUAUAUACCUAUCCCAGUGUCUGGAUUUGGAUAAUUAUAUGCUAUCUUGUUAUAUGUUCAGAAUUCAUCUGACUCAGGGUAUGUGUUAGAUGGUUGGGGUUGGGUAUUGGGGGUGGUCCUCGGUUCUAUUUGGACUUGGGAUGCCCAUUACAAUAAGGCCCCUGUUCAGGUCGGGUGAAGUUGGUAUCAGAGCUUUAGGGUCAUGGUCAAUUGAGAGUCCACAAAGUUGGGUCGAGUAGUCUCUUUUAGGAGUGUGUAGUGUGCCACACUCAUAAGGGAGAGGCUAAAAAAAUUUAAGAAUGUUUCACUUUCUUGGUAUUCUGUUUCAAAUUGCAAGGUCUGAGGUCCUUUCUAAUCCUAGUUUGUUCGUUUUUCAGAUCAAGCCUCGACGAUCUGGAAUACAAGAAAACUCUUCUGUCCCAUCUAGGGACAACGUAGAAGGGACAUAGGGGAUCCAUACUUGGUCUAGGGGUCCGUCCUGAUAUUUCUAGAGUUCCUCCGGUGGCUAUCAGUCCUUCUCAGGGUGAGGUGACGAAUGCGGAAUUUCAUCAAUCGAUUCAUACUAUUGCUCAGUUGGUUGCUGCUCAGGCUGAGCAGGAUACAUCUGGUGUUUCAUUUGCUAAGGCCACAAGGGUUGACCAGUUUAUGAAGAUGAAUCCUCCUACUUUUAUGAUGUAAAGGUGGAGGAGGAUCCUCGGGGUUUCUUGGAUGAAAUAGAGAAGAUAUUUAAGGUAAUGCAGGCCAUGAAUGUGGAAGGGGUGAGUUUUGGGGCUUAUCAACUUAAGGAUGUAUCGUACCAAUGGUACGAGAAAUGGGAUGAGGUAAACGGUGAUGUUGAGGAGUUUCCUUAUAGGAGGCUUUAUCAAAUGCUUUUUUGGAUCGCUUCUUUCCUCAGGAGCUGAGAGAAGCAAAGGUAGAGGAAUUUGUCAAUCUGAGACAAGGGAAAAUAUCAGUCAAGGAAUAUGCCUUGAAAUUUCAUCAGUCGUCAAGGUAUGCUUCAAAAUUGGUAUCAGAUAUGAGGGAGAGGAUAAGAAAGUUUGCUUAUGGACUGCCUCGGGAUUUGAUCCUUAAAAAAAGACUGCAUUGCUGAUCAAGGAUAUGGAUAUGUCUAGGUUGGUGGUUCAUAUGCAACCGGUGGAGGAAGAAAAAAGGAAACAGGCUGAGUUUGGAGAAAGGCAGAGUAAGAAGUUCAAUCUUCUAAACAAGGUGGUGGGCAACAACAAGGUAGUCAGGAUGACGGUAAGUGGUCAAAGAAGAAGUGGGGGAAUUUCGGUUCUUUCUCUUCUGCUAGUGCUCCUUACCUGAAGCCUUCGGGUGAUAGGCAUCAGGGUGGUGAUAAUUUUUUGGCACAAGGUGCGAUAUUAUAAAGUGUUUUUAUGGUCUUGCACACAAACCUUGGGUAUCAUGAGUUCUCUAGAAAGAUGACCCAAGUACUUCAUAAAAAAGUGGUCAACCUUUUACACUCGCGUAAAUGAUUCAUCAAGUCUAUCUCAUAGACCACCUUAAGGUUAUGGAUUCAUUAAGAGCAAAAAUAAGCUCAACCUUAUAAUACACUACCCCAUGCCAUAGAGAUAGGAUAUGUAGUGUUUAUUGAAGGCCUAUAUGGUUGUGUUUGUCCAUAAAUAUGUAUCCACCAUACUACCUCAAUCCAUGGGCUUUAGCCCCAUCCCCCUCGACGAUUCAAAGAUUUUUUUCCUUGUCAGACGCUUGGUCAUAGGAUCCACCAAAUUUCUUUCGAAUCUUACAUAUUCUAAGGAAAUAACGCCAUGUUUCAACAAUUAUUUAACUGCAAUAUGUCUGAUGCGAAUAUGUUUUUAUUAUCUAUUAACAAUUCCUGUCCAACGUUCCUGGCAUAUUCAUCAGUUAGAUGUUAAUAAUGCCUUCUUACAAGGUCGUCUUGAAAAGGAAGUGUACAUGAGACAACCUCUUGGUUUUGAGUCCUCAUAAAAUUCUAUGUACAUUUGCAAGCUCAAAAAAAGCCAUAUACGAACUUAAGCAGACUCCUAGGGCAUGGUACACCGAGCCUACCAACUACUUAACAAGUAUUGAAUUUGUUAAAUCAAAAUCUAACUCAUCUUUGUUUAUCCUUUAUAAUUUUGGUGUUACUAUCUACAUUAUUAUAUAUGUUGAUGACAUAAUCAUUAUGGGCAGCAUUCAAAAAAGUAUCAUGUCCAUAAUUAAAUCACUUUCUCAGCGAUUCUCUCCCAAAGAUCUUGGGCUCUGGCAUUAUUUUUUGGGUGUUGAGGUAAUAUCCACACCAACUGCCAUAUAGUUUUCCCAACACAAAUAUAUCAUGGAUCUUCUAGUUGAAUUGCAUAUGGUUGACUGCAAGGGUGUUCCAACACCAAUGACAUCAAACUCCUUCAUUGAUUCAGAGACCGAUUCAGCCAUUGAUGUUUCACUUUACCGAAGAAUCAUUGGUAAGCUUCACUACCUAUCCUUCACUAGGCCUGACAUUGGGUUUGCUAUGAGCAAGUUGUCUCAGUUUAUGCAUAAUCCCAAAGAGUCUCACUGGAAGGUCAGCAAACGUUUGUUGUGCUACUUGAAGCACACAAGCACGUUGGGCUCCAGUUAAGUCGACAAUCAACAGAUGGUUUGCUUGCGUAUUCUGACUCUGAUUAGGCUGGAAAUCCACAUAACAGAACAUCAACAACAGGUUAUUUUGUCUCCCUUGAAAACUCACUAAUCUCAUGGUCUUACAAAAAGUAAAAGUCUAUCUCACGCUCAUCCAUGAAAGUCGAGUAUCGAGUUGUUGCUGUUGUUGUUUACCAAUUUGAACCAUGAGCUUCACCUAUCACUAUCUUCCCCACCAACCGUUCUCUGUGACAAAUCAGCACCACUUACAUUUGUGCUAAUCUUAUUUUUCAUAAGCAUGCAACUAUUGAUUUUCAUUUUGUUCGUGAGCAAGUUCAACGAAAAAGCUUGAGGUUCAUCACCUUCACUCCGCUGAUCAAGUAGCUGACAUCCUCACCAAGCCUCUUCCGCAUACAGCUUUUCUGCGACAUUUUCACAAGUUGGGGCUUGUCCCAGUCACCCCCAACUUGUGGGGGCGUACUUGUGGGGGCGUAUUAACAGAUAAUAUAUGCCACCUCAGUUUGUUAUUAGCUUAAGAUAUUAUAGCUAUCUAUAUGUAUUCAAUUAUACAGUAGUUAGUUAUAUGUUAUAUUUAGGAGUUCCAUAAUUUUCUGUUGUAUUUUAGGAUUUUCUGCUUCUUUAUACUUGCCAGAUAGUAUUUCCAGUUCUAUAUCCGCUCUAUAAAGAGAUGUUGCACGUGAAUAACAUUUAUCUUUCUCUUCUUUAUCUUAAACCUUUAUACGAGGUCCCUAUAGACAAGGGGAUGAGUUGGAUAUAUAGUUUCCAUCAGCAAAUAAGAAAUUAUGAAAAGAGUACAAUGCCAAAGUUUCUACUGAGAAAUAACAAGAGUUAAUACAUAAAAACGACCCUAAACUUGACACCAAAUUAUAACUUUGACCUUAAACUUUGAUAGUGCACAAAUAGGACCUUUAACUAUUCAAAACCUAAACAAAUAUGACCUUUGAUUUUGCAACUUCAUGCGUGAGUCUCACUCGCGCCUACGUGGAAAGGUAAUCCAAUCAUACGGUGCCACGUCGUUAAAAAGGCUGACUUGGAGAGAGGUCAUAUUUGUGCAGUUUUAAAUAGUUAAAGGUCAUAUUUGUGCACUGUCAGAGUUUUGCUUUUUGUGUUAAGACGACGUCGUUUUUAUUAUUAUUAUUAUUAUUUAUUUCUAUAGUAGCAGCACCUAACUUUUUUUUUAAUUUAAAAAAAUUAUUAUUAUUAUUAUUAUUUUAUUUAUUUCUANNNNNNNNNNNNNNNNNNNNNNNNNNNNNNNNNNNNNNNNNNNNNNNNNNNNNNNNNNNNNNNNNNNNNNNNNNNNNNNNNNNNNNNNNNNNNNNNNNNNNNNNNNNNNNNNNNNNNNNNNNNNNNNNNNNNNNNNNNNNNNNNNNNNNNNNNNNNNNNNNNNNNNNNNNNNNNNNNNNNNNNNNNNNNNNNNNNNNNNNNNNNNNNNNNNNNNNNNNNNNNNNNNNNNNNNNNNNNNNNNNNNNNNNNNNNNNNNNNNNNNNNNNNNNNNNNNNNNNNNNNNNNNNNNNNNNNNNNNNNNNNNNNNNNNNNNNNNNNNNNNNNUCCUCUGCUUUAUAAUAUAUAUACAUACCCGCUCGAUUUUUUCGUAUGAGGCUGACCCGCCUAAUUAAUAAAUCUUCAAUAUUGUUCUUUUUCCGCAAUGACAAAAGAAAUUAGAUGUCAUUUUCAUCUUUGAGCCGAAAAUAAUGAAAAAAUAAUAGUGAAGAGUCAUUUAAAGGUCAUAUUUGUACAGUUUUGAAUAGUUAAAGGUCAUAUUUAUGCACUGUCAAAGUUUAAGGUCAUAUUUAUGUAUUAUGCCCUUAGAUUUUAAGCUGGACAUGCCCAGUUUUGCGUGUUGAACACGCGUUUUACCACAUAGGAUUGGAGGUUAUAUUUGUGCAGUUUUGAAUAGUUAAAGGUCAUAUUUGUGCACUGUCAAAGUUUAAGGUCAAAGUUAUAAUUUGGUGUCAAGUUAAGGGUCAUUUUUAUGUAUUAACUCAAAUAACAAUGAACAUGACAAAAGGGGUUUGAAGAGUUCACAAACAAAACAUAAGCUUCUGAUUCUGGCUCAGUCUUUGACAAUACCUAUCAGAACGUAUCGUUGCAAAGCACAAAACUAAAUAGACAUUAACAUCUUCCCAACAAUCGCAGCUUCAUCAUAUGCAGAUCAGUCCUUUCAUCUCAGUACAAAGUAUUAGCUUCUACUGAUGUCAGAUGGUCACAAGUCCAAUGAAUAGGUCUACUGCUCGGAAGUCACGUCUAGGUGGAUGCUAUAUAAAGAUGAGAAGUUAAAAAUGAAAAGAACGAAGAAUGUCAGGAAAAUAAAGGAAGUACACCACAAAAGCUAGUGAGAACGAAAGCAAGUAGAGAGAACUCAAAAGCCAUAAAGUGAUAUGAAAAUAUGACAUGUGGUUAAAUUAUUUCUAGAGAAAUAUGUCGAUGCCAUAUAUAUGCACAGAAAAAUUGGCAUAUCUUAAUGUAUAAAUCUGUUCUCAAUUGUAAUCUUCCAUUUUUUUUCUACAGAAAAGAAAUUCACUAUUCACAAAGCAUAAAAUGUAAUCUAAAUUCUCAAUUCUAAGAGACUUGAACUUUUAUACAUAGCAAAUUCUGCUUACGAAUGAAUAAACAAUACUUUAAUGAUCAUCUUAACUUAAAAUGCAAGGCAGAAAUUACUAAAAAAUGUUUUUCAUAUGAGAAUGCAAUGCAGAGUUGCAGAAGCAUCAUAAUGAUGAAAUCACUUACCUUCAUCUUUAUCAUUCUUCAAGAUAUGAACUUGGAGCUCGCAGCCGUACUCUUCCAUUUCUUUUUCAAUCUUCAAAGCUGAAUCACCAACUGAUUUGCUACAAUCAGUAACUUUUAUCAAUCGCAAUGUUGGAACAUCUGCAAAGCUAAGUGGGAUCUCUUCAAGCUUGGAACAACUUUUUAUAACUAGAUAUUCAAGCUCAGGAAAUGAUUCAUCUAAGCAAUACCAGUGGGUCAUAAACACACGAUGUAGUUUCAAAAACUUGAGUCUCUCGAACGUCUUAUCACUGAGAUCCCAAUCUUUUUUCCCCGUAAAGUAUAUCUCAGAUAAUUUAAGAGUCUCAAGGUGUUGCAGCUUUGCAAUACUUGAAACUAUUUCAUCCGUCAGGAAAGUUUCACUGAGGGACAAAUUCCUAAGACGUGAGGGAAACAUCUCCAAAGUCAUUAAUCUAGAGUCUGAAUAAUAAGGAACAUCACCAAGUUCAUCAAUAUGGAGCCUAAGUUGUUCGAGAUUUGGAAACUUAUUCCAGAACUUCGGAGUCAUGUCAGCCACGGACAUGGAGCACGUGCCAAGAGUCUUCAUGUUAUGUAACACAACAUCUGUAGGUUCUUCGAACUUCACUCGCUCACCAUCUGCCCAUCUAAUGGGAAAUUCGUUUAUGUCCACGUGCCUCAACUUUUCCAGUUUCCAAAUAGCAGGCGACAUCAUUAUAUAAGAUGAACGAACCCCCAAAGUUUGUAAAUGAACAAGGUGUGACACCCAUUUGAAAUGGAAUGCUUUAACAAAAAUUGCAAGGUACCUUAAGUGAGUCAGCGACUGAAACGCAGCAGCCCAAGAAUCAUCCAAGUAGAAAUCCAAUAAAUGUAACACCCGAAUAAGUCUGAAGUUAUUAAGCAAAGGAAAAAGAUUCUUUUUUUUUGAUAUGCUGAAUUUUGGAUGAGCAAUGCACUCAAGGGACGCUUGACUUAUUCCAAAUGACUUUCUUUCCUUGAAAUCACUUGUCAUAGUGUCAGGUAUGUACAUACAUAGCCUUUUUCCUACAUGUUGCAUGAACUUUUCUUCUUUUAUUUUUGUCAAGCAAAAUUCACGCACUUGAUCAGGAACUAUGCAGCAUUUCAUUUCACCACUUCCUCUGGUUUUAGAUAAAACUACCAAGUUUCUGCUAACAAGAUCACUCAAGCAACUCAUUGAUGUUUCUUCUUGCUUCAACGUGCCAAUGUUCGGCACAAACUCCUCAGCUAUCCACCACUUGAGCAGAUCAGACACUGGAAUUUCAUAGCCUUUAGGAAACAAUCCCAUGUAGAGAAGACAAGGCUUUAAAUAUUCCGCUAAAAUGUCAUAACUUGAUUGUAUCAUCUUCAUGCUUCCUUCUUCUAAGGCAUGAGAACCUAUAUCAUAUGCAACCUCAAGCCACGUAGAUGCUUCUCUUUUUUUUCGAGAAAGAAUUCCAGCAAUAAUGAUUAUGAAAAGAGGCAACCCAUUGCAUUUUUUGGCAACUAGUGGUCCUACACUGCGUAGCUCCAAAGGACAGCUCUCUCCUUGAAAUACUUUCUUCUGCAAUAAUUCCCAACUCUCUUCAUCUCUUAGACAUGGAAGAAGAUAAGGUUCACUAUGCUUCUUCAUAUGCCGAGUUAGCUGUACAUUUCUAGUUGUUACCAUUAUUCUACUUCCCUUUCCCACAGAAGGGAAACAUGGUCGUAAAUCAUCCCAUGCCUCGUAUUCACAUAUAUCAUCCAAUACGAUGAGAUACCUUUUUCCGAAAAGAUUCUUCCGCAUCAUGUCAUCAGGAUCAUCCACAUUAACAAACCUAUCGCCCGUAAUUUGUUUUAGAAUCUCAAGAAAUAACUUUCUCACAUUAUAUGUUUGUCCAACGGAGCACCACGCUCGAACAUCAAAACAAUCAAUAAUAGAACUACUAUUGUAUACCUUUCUAGCCAAAGCUGUUUUCCCUAUUCCGGCCAUUCCAACAACUGAAAUAAUGUCAAAGUCCAUUGACCUUUCCCUCAAUUUUUGAAUUAUAUUUUCCGCAUGAUCGUCAAAACCCACAAGUUCUCCGUCAACUGAUGGAUAACUACGCUCCGUGGGAGGCUCUACAGAGGAAGGAAUUCUCUCAACAUUCUCCAUAUCAGCUAGCUUGGCCCCUUUUACGAUUGUUAGAAGCGAAAUUGAUACAAGAUGGGGAACUGAAAAUGAAGUGAAGCACAGCUGGAAUCAACAAAUUAGUUAAAAGUAGUUAAACUAUAUUAGAAUUCAAAAUUUUGUUUUUUACUGUUCAUUGCAGUUAUUACUGUACUCAAGUCACAUGGGUAGUUAAUCGGUUAGAGAGUUAGUUACAGCUGUCAAGUGGGAUUGUUAGCUAUAAAACCAAGCAUCACUGGUGUAAGCAUUCAUUCAUGAAUAAUAUCUCAAGUUUCUCUCUUCUAUAUUCUCUCUAUAAUUUCUUUUAGCUUCAAUUCUCGGAUUAAUCCCUGAUUUAGCUAUCAUCUUCUUCGAGCAUAGCUCCUAGAUUAACAAUUUCCAGUUGCGAAUUCCUUUAAGUGCAUCAAUUGGUAUCAAAGCUUGUAGGUUCUUGGAAUGAUAAUGGUGAGAAGUAAAGGUCAAGAUAAAUCUGGGGAAGAAAUGGAUGAUAAAUUGACACAAAUUCAAGAUCAGCUGCAGCAGUUAAUGGAAGGAAUGUUGAAUAUGAAUGCAAAAAAUCAAAUAAAGAAUUGUUAGAGAUUCGUGAAGCAUUGGGAUCAAUGGCGCAGAAAGGGAAAGGAAGAGAACCAAACAGAGCAGAAUCCACUAAUGGAAGGGCUGGUUCAAUGGAGCUACAGCAAGAGGAAAGGCCCAAGGAAGGUCAUCACAACUCAAAUUCACAUGGUAAUUACUUUACAAAGUAUUCUUGACUUGAAUUUCCUAGAUUUUCGGGCCAAGAUUUAAGGACUUGGUUAUAUAAGGUCGACCAAUUUUUUUCCAUGGAUGAAGUACCUUUUGAGAAAAGGGUUAAGGUAGCAUCCAUCCAUUUUGAUGAUAAGGCCAUAGCCUGGCAUGGAGCAUAUAUGAGGUGCAGGAAUUCUGUAGUGGAUCCUACUUGGACUGAAUAUGUCAUAGCCCUAAAUGAGAGGUUUGGAGAUGGAUUUGAGGAUCCAAUGGAAGCCCUAACGAACUUGAGACAAACUGGUAGUGUAAGGGAGUAUCAGGCAGAAUUUGAUAAAUUUCUGACUAGGGUUAACUUGUCAAAUGAAAAUGCUAUCAGCUGCUUCCUAGGGGGUUUAACUCCAGCACUAAAUAAGGUUGUUAGAAUACAAGGUCCUAAAACGCUGAUGCAGACUUAUAAGGUAGCUAGGCUACAAGAAGAGGUGUUUGAAGCACAAGCUCCGUCAUGGGGUUUGAAGGUACCUUAUAAGAAUAGUAGUGGAUUAUUACCUACUCCUGCAGUGGUUAAGCCUGUGUAUACCCAGAAACCUUCUUAUAACCUUGCAUCCAAUUCCACUUAUAAGCAACCAUUUGAAUAAAAGCAAAUUGGAGAUAGAAAAAUUCCUGGUAAAAGGUUAUUCGCAGCAGAAAUGAAUAAGAAGAGGGCAAAAGACCUUUGUUUUUUCUUUGAUGAGAAAUAUGUACAAGGGCACAAUUGUAGAAGUAAUAAACAGUUGUAUAUGGUGGAGGUAGAAGAAGUAGAAGAAGGGGACAUGGAGCUAGCUAAAGUACAAGAAUCAGUCCCUAUUGUGACUAGUGAAGCAUAUGAGUUCAUGGCUAUAUCAUUACAAGCUCUUACAGGAGUGACAGGAUAUCAAACACUUAGGGUCACAGGGUAUCAUGAAAAGAGACCAUUGUAGGUCUUAAUUGACACAAGAAGCACACCCAACUUUAUUGAUCAAGAGGUAGGCACAAAAUUGCAAUGUAAAGCUUCUCCUAUUCAUGAGCAAUCUAUUAGUGUAGCAGAUGGUAGAAAAGUGCAGACUGCAUCAAUAUGUAAGGAUCUCACUUGGCUUUUACAAGGCACUACAUUUUCAUCUGAUUUCCUAAUCUUACUACUUGGAAAUGUUGACAUUGUAUUGGAGGUUCAGUGAUUAACUACAUUGGGAAGAAUCUUAUUUGACUUCCAGAAUAAGUCCAUUGAUUUCAGGUAUCAAGGAAAGAAACAUGUGUUAAGAAGAGCUAGAGUACACAUAAAAGUUGCUAAGGCUGAGUCCCUAAUCAAGCAGGAAGGCUAAGAAGCUCAAUUGUUCAUGAUGACAGUAACCAACCCAGCAAUAAAUGAAGUAAAUUAUUGCAGUAUUCAAGUCACUCCAGGUACUAACUUGUUACCAGAAUUAAAGCCCUUAUUGGAAUAAUUUGCUUGUAUUUUUGAGCUGCCUAGCACCUUACCACCUCAUAGAGGUGCAUUUGAUCACAGAAUUCCAUUGAUGGAAUCAACAAUUCCUGUUAGUAAGAGACCUUACAGAUAUCCUGCAUUUAAGAAGGAUAUUAUUGAGAAAUUGGUACAGGAGAUGAUGGAUCAAGGGGUUAUUCAACAUAGUUCUAGCCCAUAUGUUUCUCAUGUGGUGUUGGUGGGAAAAAAAGGUGGGUCUUAGAGACUUUGUGUUGAUUAUAAAAGUCUCAAUCAGUUAACUAUUAAAGACAAAUUCCCAAUUCCCAUGACUGAAGACUUGUUGGAUGAAUUAGGGGGUGCUGUUAUAUUCUCAAAGAUUGAUCUUAGAGCAGGGUAUCAUAAGUUGAGAAUGGCUGAAGAAGACACUUAUAAGACAGCUUUCAAAACUCAUGAAGGCCAUUAUGAGUUUUUGGUUAUGCCUUUUGGUUUAACCAAUGCUUCAUUUUUCUUUCAAGGACUUAUGAAUGCAGUUUUCAAACCGUUAUUAAGAAAGUCAGUAUUAGUGUUUUUUGAUGAUAUCUUAAUCUACAGUAAAUCAUCGGUUGACCACUUGGUUCAUGUUCAUGCUGUGUUUGAACUAAUGAAAUAGUAUCGGUUGUAUGCUAAGAUAUCUAAGUGUGCCUUUGGAGUGACUAAGGUGGAUUACUUAGGCCAUUUCAUCAGUGCAGAGAGAGUUUCAACUGAUCCUAGAAAGAUUAUAGCUGUUUAAAAUUGGCCUAUGCCUACUAAUCUCAAACAAUUAAGAGGAUUCUUAGGACUUGCAGGCUACUACAAGAGGUUUAUACAUGGUUUUGGAAUUAUAUGCAGACCCCUUCAUGAUAUGUUGAAGAAGGAAGGUUCCACUAGUCUGAACAAGCUUAUGAGGCUUUUAGAACACUAAAACAGGCAUUGGUUUCUGCUCCAGUGCUAGCCUUGCCUAACUAUUCCUUACCUUUUAUUGUGGAGAUGGAUGCUAGUGGUAAAGAAAUUGGAGUUGUGUUAAUGCAACAAGGACACCCUAUUGCUUAUAUAAGCAAAUCCUUAGCUCCUAAACAUCAAGCUAUGUCUGUAUAUGACAGAGAACUGCUUGCUCUCUGUCUGUAUAUGACAGAGAACUGCUUGCUCUCAUUUUUGCAGUUACCAAAUGGUCACACUCCUUGUUGCACAACCAUUUUAUAGUAAGAACUGGCCAAAAGGCCUUGAAACACCUACUUGAUCAACCAAUUCACACUGAUUUCCAGAUUGUUAGUAUAUCCAAACUAAUGGCUUUUGAUUUUAGUAUUGAGUACAAAAAAAGGCUCUGAGAAUAGUGUUGUUGAUGCAUUGUCAAGAAUGCUUGAUGCUGAAUUAUUAGCCAUCUCAUUACUCACUCCACAUGAUGAAUUGUAAAUGAAUAUUAAGGCAUCUUGGGAAGUGGAUCCUGCAUUACAGGUGAUUAUACAGAAAUUUCAGACACAGCCUUUUAAAUCCUACACUUGGUGUGGUGGCCAGCUUAGAUGGAAAGGAAGGUUAGUUAUAGGUGAUGAUCAACAGUUGAAGACUGACAUUAUUUCUUUGUGGCAUAGUACUCCACAAUGUGGACACUCAGGCAUGGAUGCUACUAUAUGGAGUUUACAAUCCCUCUUCGAUUGGAAAACACUUACUGCAGAUGUGAGGAAGUUCAUCAAUCAGUGUGAUGUUUGUCAAAGACAUAAGUAUGAUACCAGGGUAUUUGCAACCUCUACCUGUUCCUGAAGGUGAAUGGACUGAUAUUUGCUUAGAUUUCAUUGAAGGUCUGCCUAAAUCCCACGGUAAAGAUGUCAUUUUGGUAGUGGUAGACAGGCUCACCAAAUACAGUCACUUUUUAGGUCUGCAACACCCAUACACAGCUCAGUCAGUUGCUAAAUGCUUCAUGGAUAAUAUCUUUAAACUACAUGGAUUACGUGUUACCAUGACUAGUGACACAGAUCCAGUCUUCUUAAGUGUUUUUUGGCAAGAAUUAUUCACCUUGCAAGGUGUACAACUUCAGAGAUAUACUACUUACCACCCUCAGACUGAUGGCCAAACUGAGGUGGUCAAACUGAGGUGGUCAACAGGACCUUGGAGACUUACUUGAGAUGCUUUUGCUCUGAUUGUCCAAGAGAAUGGGCUAAUCAUCUCUCCCUGGCUGAGUGGUGGUACAAUACUACCUAUUAUACCACUAUCAAAUGCACACCAUAUGAAGCUUUAUAUGGUCAAAAACUCUCAUUCAUCUACCUUACUUAGUGGGUGAAAGUGCUGUGGAGAUGGUAGAUAGAAGCUUGGAGGCUAGAGAGACUGUUAUUUAGUUGCUAAAGUUCCAUAUUAUCAGGGCUCAACAAAGAAUACAAGACAUUGCCAACAAACAUAGAUCAGAUAGGUCCUUUGAAGUAGGUGAUUGGGUUUAUCUAAAAUUGCAACCUUACAGACAAGUUUCACUGGCUGCCAGGCCUUUUAACAAACUUCCUGCCAAGUAUUAUGGCCCCUAUAAGGUUGAAGACAAGAUCGGAGCUGUUGCUUAUAAGCUCUUACUGCCUAGUAAUGUUCUCAUUCACCCUACCUUCUAUGUCUCUCAACUUAAGAGGUGUCAUGCCUUACCUCAGAGUUUCACUCAUCCGCCUGUCAUACAUCUUUCUAGUCCUUAUUGCCCUAUUCUAGAGAGGGUGUUAGAUAAUAGAUUGGUCAAAAGGGGAAACAAGGCUGUAGAGCAAGUCUUGGUGCAAUGAACUGGAAUUGAUGCAACACAAGCUACAUAGGACUUCUGAGUUACUGCUGAGGUUUCCUUCCUUUAAUCCUUGAGGACAAGGAUGUUCUUUAAGGGAGGGGUAUUGAUACAAGAUGGGGAACUGAAAAUGAAGUGAAGCACAGCUGGAAUCAAUAAAUUAGUUAGAAGUAGUUAAACUGUAUUAGAAUUCAAAACUUUAUUUUUACUGUUCAUCGCAGUUAUUACUGUACUCAAGUCACAUGGGUAGUUAAUCGGUUAGAGAGUUAGUUACAGCUGUCAAGUGGGAUUGUUAGCUAUAAUACCAAGCAUCACCAGUGUAAGCAUUCAUUCAUGAAUAAUAUCUCAAGUUUCUCUCUUCUAUAUUCUCUCUAUAAUUUCUUUUAGCUUCAAUUCUCGGAUUAAUCCCUGAUUUAGCUAUCAUCUUCUUCGAGCAUAGCUCCUAGAUUAACAAUUUUCAGUUGCGAAUUCCUUUAAGUGCAUUUUUUUUUCAUAGUUAAUGAUUUAUCGGUGCAGCAAAGGAUUAUUUAUUUUCUUAUCGGGUAAACUAUAAGUCAUUAAUAUUAUUAUCAUAUUUAUGUGUUUACCCCUGAAUAUGAUAAGUGUUUAUUGUAAGCUUAAAAGGAUUAAGCCCCAUCCACUCAUUCAGCAAAGCUCCCUAAAUUUUGUGGGGAAAAACAAGAUUUCUCUUUGAUUGAGAAUUGAUGUAGUGAGAAACUCUCUUACAUUUAGCCGAUACACCGUCCAAUAAUUGCUAAUACGAUGUUGACUCAACUGACAUCUUAUUGGCUGGCUAGAGGAUUAGUACAUUUAAAAGUUGAUAUCUAAUAAGUCGAACCAUUAAGCAAAACCAUCCACCGGUCCACAUGAUCCACCCGAUAAGCUGUGGAUGUUCCAUUUUGUGUCUUAAUAUAAGCACAUAUAAAAAAGGGUAGCCCGGUGCACUAAAGCUACCGCUAUGCGCGGUGUUCGGGGAAGGACCCCACCACAAGGAUGUAUCAUACGCAGCCUUACCUUGCAUUUCUGCCAGAGGCUGUUUCCAAGGCUUGAACCCGUGACCUCCUGGUCACAUGGCAGCAACCCCUUCUUAUAAGCACAUAUAUUAUAAAUAAUAAGUCAAACAAUCAAUAAUUUUUGCAAAACAUAUAUUUUAAGAAACCUAUAAUCGAGAAUGAAAAUCUGCAAACUAAUUAGUUCAAUUAUUUCUAAGGGAAAAAUUUUCAAAAGUAAAUUUGCUAGAUCUAGUUAAAAAAUUGAUGGUCACCUGCAAUGGAACUGAUUUGUAAGGAUUAUACAAUACUUCAAGUUGAUAAACUUUUUGUAAAGAAAAAUAAAAUCAUGAUCACAGUCAAAGGCGGAUCUAGGAUUUUAAGCUUUUGGAUUUCCAAUUAAGGCUACUAAUUGUAGUCAACUCAGUUUGAUUUUAUAUGUGACAUAUUUGAUUUGUCGGCUUUGAUUUGUAAACAUGCUAUAAUCCAUAAUGGGACCAAUCGGGUGAUGGUGUUUAACCGUUGGGGUUAUCAAUUUUACAUAUAAGAAAAUGUCUUGCAAUUCGAUUAAAUGAUAGUAGUAACUAAUACUGAUAAGACAAUAGCACUUUAGUGUUCAAUUCAUGAAACUGUAUAGACUAUAUCUUAUAUCAAGACAUAAAGAUUGUGACAUAUAAUCAAAUGAUAAAUUGCAAAAGCUAAAAAAAGAAUCUAACCUUACAGUGGAAAUGGAAAGGUUAAAAUAAUUGCUCCAAAGUUUCUUUUAAAUCUAUAGUUUCUCUCUCACAGAAAAUGAAAAGAUUUGAGACUAUUUUCAGUGUAGAGAAAAUGAAAAAGAGCAAGUUGACUUCCACGAGGAGAUAGGUGUACUAAUUAUUAGAGACGUUUUGAUUUAGGAAUCCAAAUUAAACUAUUUGCCUAAAAGAUUAGGAAUGUUAAACUAUUUAUUUAUUGAGAAGAUUUAGGAUCAAUUCACACAUAUUUAUGUCAACCGAUUAAUUUUACUAGUAAUAUUAAUAAUUGUAAAUAUGGUCAUUCCAUGAAUGCACAAGCCAAAGUUUCCUUUGCAAUUUCCUUAGAACUACGUAUAUAUUACUAUUACUAAUUUAUACGGAGAGGAAUUUGAGAGGAGCUUAGGAUCGUUUUUAUGACAAUUAAGCUCUGUUGCGGACUUUACAAGAUAAAUUCAAUUUAUGUUAGAGUGUUCGUACCCUAAACCCUAAAUCAUGCCUAUGUAAUACUCUCUUUGUCCUAAAUUAUCCGUCCAAAAUUGAGAUGAUACAUUGAUUAAAAAAAAAAUUAAUAGUAUGUGAUGUUUAUAUUUUAAUUUGAAUAAAAAGUAAUUAAUGCAAAGGGUAAAACAUGAAGAAAAAAAUUGUCUCUUCUUGAUUAAUAAGAAAGGACAAGUAAAAUGAAAAUCAAAUUAGGAAAUUUGAAACGAGUAAUUUGGAAUAGAGGAAUAAUAUAUUGCUUUAGAGAGACAUCUUGAAUAUCCCAUGUAUUAAUGGGUAUUCGAAAAGAGGUCCAACAUCACCACAAAAUCAUGGGAUAUAUAUUCAUAAAUAGAUCAGACCAUCUUGAAUAUGUCAUGAACUCUUGGAUAUUUAUAAAGAGAUUCAGAUCUUCAAUGUUCCAUAAAUUCGGAAGAUAUUCAUAAACAGAUCAACAAUCUCCAAUAUCUUAUAAAUUCAUAUGCGAUGUUGAUAAAUAGAUCAAGACAUUCUCUUCUUGAUAAUCAAAUACAUCAAGAAGAUUUACAAAACCUCCUUUCAUUGACAUCAAAUCCAAAUAUUCUUAACAAAUCUAAGAUUAAACGAGUGUGUAAUAGCAAAUCCAUCAUUUAAGGAAGGAAACAAGAAUAUAAUAUUCCAUUUUUUUUAGUUUUUUAGACUUAUUAGUGCUGGCAGUUUCAAAUAUCAGAGCGAAAACUUUUAUCUUAAUAUAUGAACAUAUAAUAACAGUUUAAAAGCUGAGGAUUAUUCAUUUUCUUAUCGGGUAAACCGUAGGUCAUUAAUAUUAUCAUAUUCAUAUGUUUACCCCUGAAUAUGAUAAGUGUUUUUUGUAAAAUUAAAGGAUAAAGCUCCAUAAAAUUGUUGGGCCAAAACAAGUCUUCUCUUACGUUGAGAAUUGAUGUGGUGAGAGACUCUCUUACAUUUAGUCGAUACAUCGUCCAAUAAUCGCUCAAUAAUUAUUAAUACUGUUAAGUCGAACCAUUAAGCAUAACCAUCCACCGAUCCGCCCACUUUUUGUAUUUUUUAACACUUAAUUAAUGCUGAAAGUUUUGUCUUAAUAUAAGCACAUAAAUUAUAAAUAAUAAGUCAAUCAAUCAAUAAUUUUGGAGAACAUAUAUUGUAAGAAGCCUUUAAUCUAGACGAUGCAUAUGUAGAAAGCCUAUUUGGUUCUAGUAGUUACUUUACUAGAUUUUUCUUUUUUUUCUUUCUAUAGUGUAGAUCUAGAAUGAAAAUUUCCAAACUAAUUAGUUCAAUUAUUCCUCAAGGGAAAAUUUCCAAAAGUAAAUUUGCUAGAUCUAGUUAAAAAUUCGAUGAUCACCUGCAAUGAACUGAUUUGUAAGGAUUAUACAGUACUUUAAGUUGAGAAACUUUUUGUAAAGAAAAAUAAAAUCAUGAUCACAGUCAAAGACAGAUUUAGAAUUUUAAGCUUAUGGGUUUCCAAUUAAGGUAAGUUAUCAGUCGACUCGGUUCGAUUUUUGAUUUGUAAACAUGCUAAACUACAUAAUGGGACCAAUAAGGAAUUCAUUAUUGAUUAAUCAAUUAAUGGUGCUUAACAAUUCGGGUUAUCAAUUUAACCUAUAAAAAAUGCCUUUGCAAUUCGAUUAACUGAUAACUCAAUACUGAUACGACACUAGCAUUUUACUGUUCAAUUCAUGAAAUUGUAUUAGUCAUAGUAUAGACUAUGUCUUAUAACACAAGACAUAAAGAUUGUGACAAAUAAUCAAAUGAUAAAUUGCAAAAGAUUAAAAUAAAAAUACGCUAAAAUUGAGUUAAGGGGAUAAUAAGGUCCCUGUGAAGUUGGAGUGUGUCGUAGCGAAUCUGAUCAUAGUUCAAAGGGGCAAUAGAUGCUUUACUCUUGAAGUAAUCCUAUUAAUAAUAUUUUAAAACUUUAAAUUUGAUUUCUAUUAUCACUUGUUCUCUGUCUUUAACUUCAGACGUAGUGACUAACUAAAGUGGGUAAAAGACAAAAGAUAGCUAAUAUUUUUACAAAUAUCUAAUUAAAAUUGACAUUUGGGAUUGCACCCACAGCUCGAAGAAAAAGUUUCAUAAUUCAGAUAGUUAGAUGGGAGAAUGUCGCUGAAGAAAACCAAUUCCUAACGAAGUCCAGCUAAGUAAAAUGAAUAGAGGGAGUAUCAUUUUCUUUAAUAAACCUCUAUUUUAAAAAAUUGCAGCAGUGCCAUUAGCAACUACUUCCUUCAUUUAGUUUUAGUUGAUUCGUUUACUAAAAAAAAUUAUUUCAAUUUAAUUGUUUCAUUCAUAAAAGAACAAAGCAUCUAGUAUCCCUGAACUAUGGUCAAAUUUGUUAUAACAUAUUCAGGUCCGAUUAUGCCUGAACUUAAUUUUAGUGUAUUUUUGUCACUCUUUUUAGCUGACAUGACACCUUUGACAUUAGCCUUGUUUUUAUGUAAUAAAGGUGUCAUUUCAGCAUAAAAGGAUGACAAAAAUACGCUAAAAUUGAGUUCAGUGGAUAAUAGGACCCAUGUGUAGUUGGAGUGUAUCGUAACAACAUUGAUCAUAGUUCGUGGUGGUACUAGAUGCAUCUCUUUAUAUAAUUUAGAGAAGUUUAUUAUGUUUAUCCAAUAUUAUUCCUAUGAUUAAAUAACUAUGUAAAAUGUAUAUACUCAAAUUGCUAUUUCAAAGCAUAAUUAAUAAGAAUAACUCGUAAAAAUAAAACCUCGAAUAAAUAUUUUCUUAAGGAAAGUAUCGAGUCGCCAACUAAAAUAAAACGGAGGAAGUGUUAGUACCAUCUACUACUUCCAACCUAAUAUUAGAAGGGUUGCUAUUGCAACUAGUAGUAAUUCGCCACAAGGCUAAUAAUACUUAAAUUACCAAACUUAGCUAGGUUAUUACAAGCCACAAGGCUUUGUACCUGUACUGUUGGUGAUGACAAAAACUCAUUAAAAUUAUCUGGUGGAAAAAGAUUUUCUUGUUGAAAAAAAUCUCUUUUCAGAAGUAAAAUGUUGAUGGUGUAACAAUAAUUGGAUUAUGUGGCUUGCUAUUUGGCCAAAUUUGUAGGAAGCUAAAGGGUACUAUUUUUUUUUUUAUUAUUUUUAUAAAUCCCAACAGUUUAAUAUCUAAUUACACCUUAUCCUAACUAUUUUUAUAUUUACAAAAAAUUUGAUUUUUCAUUGUUAUGAUACAUAACUAAGGCUCACGAUACAUCACCAUCUGAUACAUUAGUAUCAAUACACUCUUAUGUAUUAAUAUCACAGAGAUAUAUUCAAAUAUUAGUAGCACAAAAAAUAUUUCAAUAAAUAAUUUUUGUCUGAAUGACAUUUUCUUAUGUAUCUAUAACCUAAUAUUCAGUAAGAUACGUAACUUUUGUUCAUUCGAUGGAGUGUCACAUGAUGUAUUUUCUAACUUUUGUACAUUUGGUGGAGCGUCACGUCAUGUAUCUUCUUGUUCUUUUUAAGAUAUAUCAUUCUUAUGUAUUUCCAAGUCGCUUAACAGAUAUAUCAUUCUUAUGUAUUUCCAAGUCGCUUAACAGAUACAUCAUUCUUAUGUAUCUUCAUUAACAUCAUCAUCUUCAACUUCCAUUGAUAAAUCUCCGAACUCCCUCUGUACUCCACCCGACUCUCUCUUUCUCUGCCUCGAGCCACAACCGCUAGUAAACCCAUGCCGAUGAGCCACCAAAUGGACUUAUUACAAAAUGAAAAAUACUCUAUUACCACCUUGAACUAUAUGCAAAAAGGUUGAUACAUACCCGAACUUCAGGAGGGUCCUAUUACCCUUGGACUAAUUAAAAUUAUAUUUUUGACAAUCUUAGUGUCUACGUGACACAUGCGUGGCACACACAUGCGCCUAUGUGGACCCUUCAGCGUGUUGUGCCACGUAGGUACUAAAAUUGUCAAAAAUACGAUUUUAAUUAGUCCUGGGGUAAUAGGACCCUCCUAAAGUUCGGGUGUGUCUCAAUUUUUUCGCGUAUGAUUCAAGAUGGUAAUAGAGUAUUUUCUCUAAUUUUAGAAAAAACUCUUUGAAUUUUGAUAGAAUUUUCUCAAUUUGGGGCCUAUAAAAUAGGUAAUUUUCAACUUUUUACGUGACAUGCUUUAAACCAUAAGAUUUUGAUAUAUCUGACGUAACUUUAAUUUAAGACUACAAGAUUUAAAACUUAUUUUUAUUUCUUAUAUUUCGUGCUAAGUCAAAAGAUAUAUUUUUUUAAAAUAAAGAAAAUAAUAUUUUUUAUGUAAAUUAUAAACACACAAAAUUUAUUUUUUAAAAAAUAAAAUAUUUCAUGCUCAAACUUUAGUCCAAGAUAGAUUAUUUGACUCUUGAAAAUGUCACAUAACUUGAAACAACUUUAUUACUUGCCUACUCAUGGUCAAACACUAGGUAUAUUUAGAUUCAUGUAUCAGAGAGCUCAUUUAUGACUGCAGGAUUUUCUUUCCUUUUCCUUUUCAUCUUUUCCCCCCUCAUCAGAAAAAGAUACUACUAGGAUAAAUACUUAAAAUUGCUAUAGAAAUGGAAAUUUGGCAAAGCAAAAGAGAGAGCUAUUAUAUGAAAGGGAAACAAUUGCUAUUCAAUUUCCAGAAUCUUCCACAACAAAGGCGCAAACAUGGUGAAUCGUAUUACGCCGAUGCAAAUUCAUACGGUACAUCAUUUAUGCGAUUCAAUUUCAUUCAUUAUUCGAAAUUUCGAGAUUCAAACAAUUUAAUUCUUAUAGUAAAUUUUGUCUCUCACUUCAUUAAAACAUGUAGAAAAUCUCCUGGUAUUUUCACCUGGUUAAUUUCACGAAAUAUUCGUUACCUGGUUAAUUUCAGAUAUCCUUUACCUGGCUAAUUUCACGAGAUAUCCGUUACCUUGUUAAUUUCACGAGAUAUUUGUUACCUUGUUAAUUUCACGAGAUAUUUGUUACCUUGUUAAUUUCACGAGAUAUCUGUUUCCUCGUUAAUUUCACGAGGUAUAUAUUACCUUGUUAAUUUCACGAAAUAUUUGUUACCUUGUUAAUUUCACGAGAUAUCCGUUGCCUUGUUAAUUUCACGAGAUAUUUGUUACCUUGUUAAUUUCACGAGAUAUCCGUUACCUUGUUAAUUUCACGAGAUAUUUGUUACUUUGUUAAUUUCACGAGAUAUCUGUUCUCUGGUUAAUUUCACGAGAUAUUUGUUACCUUGUUAAUUUCACGAGAUAUUUGUUAUCGUGUUAAUUUCAUGAGAUAUCUUAUACCUGGUUAAUUUCACGAGAUAUAUAUUACCUUGUUAAUUUCAUGAGAUAUCUGUGAUUUGAUUAAUUUCAUGAGAUAUCUGUUACCUUGUUAAUUUUAUGAGAUAUCUGUUGUUAUCUGGUUAAUUUUACGAGAUAUCUGUUACCUGGUUAAUUUCAUGAGAUAUCUAUUACUGCUAGCAUGAUGUAAAUAUUGUAUAUUAAUGUAAUCAUAUAUUGUUGUAAAUUAGUGUAAUUACAUAGAUUUGAUUUAGUAGUUAAAGAGAAUAAUAGUGACUUUAGUAAGAGCAGAUUUGGUGGGAUAGAAUAGCGGAUUUAAAGGGAUAGAAAAGCUGAUCUUUAGGGAUAGGAAAGCGGAUUUUUAGGGAUGUAAUCAUUGAAUAUUUUUUAUUUAAUGACAAGACUCUUCAUAUUGAGAGGUAGUCAGCGGAAAAUUGACAUGGUAUCAGAGCCUUCUCUUGGCUGUCUUGUUUCAUAGAGUUCAUUUGUGGUUUCUUUCAAAAUUUAUUUUGAAAAUUUCGGUUUUUGUUGAUUGUUCCUCGACAAUUAACACCUAGGACUUUGAUCUUGGUUAUUUUGGUUGUUCUUUUUGAGUUAGUGUUUCUAGUUUUCAUAAUUAUAAGUUCAUAUCAGUUUGAAUCAUUCAGUGUUCGUUUCACUGGAAAGAAUUUUUCGUCAUGGGAGUUUUAGUUUUAGUUAUUUAUCACCGGAAAAGAACUAUAGGGCCAUAUAGAUGGAGCCGAUCCUGCUCCUACUGAUCCUACAAAGUUAGGUGAAUGGAAGAUUAAAGAUGCUCGGGUGAUGACAUGGCUUUUAGGGUCAAUUGACCCUCUUAUUGUUUCUAAUCUCAGGCCUUACAAGACAGCUAAGGCCAUGUGGGAUUAUUUACAAAAGGUUUACAAUCAAGAUAAUAGUGCCCGACGCUUUCACUUAGAGUAUGAAAUUGCUAAUUACUCUCAAGGAGGUCUUUCUAUUCAGGAUUAUUAUUUUGGAUUUCAGAACUUAUGGGCUGAAUUUACAGAUAUUAUUUAUGCCAAAAUACCUUCCAAAUCUCUAUCUGUAAUUCAGCAAGUUCAUGAGCAAAGCAAGCGAGAUCAAUUUUUGAUGAAGUUACACUCUAAGUUUGAGAGUGUUCGCUCUAACUUGAUGAAUCUUGACCCGUCUCCCUCCUUGGAUGUUUGUUUUAGGGAAUUGCUUCGUGAAGUGCAACGUUAUGUCACACAAAACGCUUUCAGAAGAGGAAAUGAUGUCGCUGUUGCAUUUGCUGCUCAAGGUAAAGGUAUGAGUAGGGAUAUGAAUAGAACUAAAUGCUACAAUUGCAAGGAAUAUGGCCAUAUUGCUAGAAAUUGUGGCAAGAAGUUCUGUAAUUAUUGUAAANNNNNNNNNNNNNNNNNNNNNNNNNNNNNNNNNNNNNNNNNNNNNNNUAAGGUAAAUAAUUUUCAUGCAGCAAUAAAUGGUUCCACUCUUGAGAACUCAUCUUCAGGACCUUCAGGACAAGUUUUUACUCCUGAAAUGGUACAACAAAUGAUCGUAUCAGCCUUUUCAGCAUUGGGAUUACAAGGUAUUGAUGUUAAAUCUAAUUUUUGGAUUGUUGAUUCUGGUGCUUUCGAUCAUAUGACCAACUCAACAAGCAUGCUAAAAAAUAUUCGUAAGUAUCAAGGUUCAUCACAAAUACAGGUUACUAAUGGUAAUAAUUUACCCAUUACCAAGGUUGGGGAUAUUGCUCCAACUUUCAAGAAUGUUUUUGUUUCACCGAAGCUCUCAACUAGUCUUAUUUCAGUUGGACAAUUGGUUGAUGACAAUUGUGAUGUAAAUUUUUCUCGUAAUGGUUGUCUUGUACAGGAUAAGGUGUCGGGGAUGAUAAUUGCGAAGGGGCCUAAAGUUGGAAGAUUGUUUCCUAUACAAUUUUUCAUUCCUCCUGUUAUAUCUUUUGCUUGUACUUCUACGGCUAAUAAGACUGAGCUUUGGCAUAAGCAUCUAGGACAUCCAAAUUCUGUUGUGUUGUCUCAUUUAUCAAAUUCUGGUUUAUUAGGAAGUAAAAAUCAAUUUUCUCCUACUUCAUUUGAUUGUUCUACUUGUAAAUUAGCCAAAAGUUAAAUUCUUCCUUUUCCUAAUUUGGGUAGUCGUGCUACAAAGUGUUUUGAUGUUGUUCAUAGUGAUGUUUGGGGUAUUUCACCAAUUGUUUCUGAUGCUCAGUUCAAGUACUUUGUGACAUUCAUAGAUGAUUACAGUCCAUUUACGUGGGUGUAUUUUCUUCGUACCAAAUCUGAAGUAUUUUCCAUGUUCAAGAUAUUUUUGGCUUACAUUGAGACUCAAUUUUCUACUUGUAUCAAAUUAUUAAGAUCUAAUUCUGAUGUAGAAUAUAUGUCAAAUGAAUUCCAAAAUUUUUUGCUUGACAAAGGAAUUGUCUCACAACGCUCUUAUCCAUAUACACCACAACAAAAUGGGGUCGCUGAGCAUAAAAAUCGUCAUCUUUUAAAUGUCACUCGUACUUUAUUGAUUGAGUCCUCUGUCCCAUCUAAAUAUUGGGUUGAAGCUUUGUCUACUGCUGUCUAUUUAAUUAACAGGCUGCCAUCUAAAGUUUUAAAUCUUGAGUCUCCAUAUUUUCGUCUUUAUCACAAAAAUCCAAGCUAUGAUAAUUUUCAUGCAUUUUGUUGUAUUUGUUUUGUUCAUCUUCCUCCUUCUCAGCAUAAUAAACUUUCUAUUCAGUCUACUAAAUGUGUUUCUAUGGGUUAUAGUACUUCACAGAAAGGUUUUCUCUGUUAUGAUCCAUGUUCUAAUAAAUUUNNNNNNNNNNNNNNNNNNNNNNNNNNNNNNNNNNNNNNNNNNNNNNNNNNNNNNNNNNNNNNNNNNNNNNNNNNNNNNNNNNNNNNAAACUGCACCACAACUAGAAUCUGAGAAUUCUUCAAGGCCUGCUCCUCUUGAGCCCACUCGACGAUCUACGAAAGUAUCUCGUACUCCUAAUUGGUAUGGCUUUUCAUCUACUUUAUCCACCAUUUUUGUUCCAACUUGUUACUCACACGCUUCUAAGCAUGAAUGUUGGCAGAAGGCAAUGGAGGAAGAACUUUUGGUUCUAAAAGAAAAUGACACAUGGGAUAUUGUUUCAUGUCUUUCAAAUGUCCAUCCAAUUGGAUGUAAAUGGGUUUAUUCAAUUAAAUUUCAUUUUGAUGAAACUCUUGAUCGGUACAAAGCUUGGUUGGUUGUUCUUGGUAACAAGCAGGAGUAUGGUGUGAACUAUGAAGAGACUUUUGCACCGGUAGCAAAAAUGACGAAGGUGAGAACUAUUGUUGCCAUUGCUACUUCACAAAACUGGAUUUUUUUCAUAUGAAAGAUCUUAGUACUCUUACAUAUUUCUUGGGUUUGGAAGUUCAUUGUGAUUCUAAAUCAACACAAAUAUACCCAAGAUUUGAUUUCUUUGGCAGGUCUUCAGGAUUCCUCCUUUGUGGAUACUCCAUUAGAAUUGAAUGUAAAGUAUUACCGGGAGGAAGGCGAUCUUCUUCCUGAUCCAACUAUAUUUCGGCAAUUAGUUGGGAGCUUAAAUUACCUUACUAUUACCAGGUCUGAUAUCUCUUUUGCAGUUCAACAAGUUAGUCAGUUCAUGCAAGCUCCCCGUCAUCUUUAUUUGGUAGUUGUCAGUCAGUUCAUGCAAGCUCCCCGUCAUCUUUAUUUGGUAGUUGUCCGUCGCAUCAUUCGAUACCUCCGAGGAACAUCUAAUAGUGGUUCUCCUAUUCGUCUUAAUGCUUUUAGUGAUUCUGAUUGGGCGGGAUGUUCUGACACUCAUCGUUCGGUUACUGGUUGGUGCAUGUUUCUUGGAGAGUAUUUGAUAUCUUGGAAGAGUAAGAAGCAAGACCGCGUGUCAAAAUCUUCAACAGAGGCUGAAUAUCGAGCAAUGUCUACUGCUUGCUCCGAGAUUGUGUGGCUUCGUGGACUACUUGCUGAGAUUGGAUUUCCUCAAUCUAAUCCUACUCCUCUCCAUGCUGACAAUACAAGUGCUAUUCAGAUUGCUAUUAAUUCGGUUUAUCAUGAGCGGACCAAACACAUCGAAGUAGACUGUCAUUAUAUACGAGAAGCUGUAAAUAAAGGUCUCAUUACUCUUUUGCACGUGUCCAGUGAUCUUCAAAUAACUGAUGCAUUUACAAAAUCAAUGGCACGACAACGACAUCAGUUUCUCGUCGGCAAAUUGAUGUUUCUUGAUCUACCAGCAUCAAUUUGAGAGGGGAUGUUAGCAUGAUGUAAAUAUUGUAUAUUAAUGUAAUCAUAUAUUGUUGUAUAUUAGUGUAAUUACAUAGAUUUGAUUUAGUAGUUAAAGAGAAUAAUAGUGACUUUAGUAAGAGCAGAUUUGGUGGGAUAGAAUAGCGGAUUUAGAGGGAUAGAAAAGCUGAUCUUUAGGGAUAGAAAGACGAAUUUUUAGGGAUGUAAUCAUUGAAUAUUUUCUAUUUAAUGACAAGGCUCUCAAUAUUGAGAGGUAGUCAGUAGAAAAUUGACAAUUACCUCCCACGAGGGUACAUCAUUUAUGCUAUGGAGUUUCACUCAUAUCUGCAACAUUUUGUAUUUGGAGAUUUAAAGAGUUUAAUUUUGAUUGUGAAUUUUGUCAAUCACUUUUUUAAAAGCAGGUAAAAAGUAGUAUUUUCUCUUAAUGACUGUUAUGUUCAGGUCAGCUUGCGUGCAUCUGCUUAAUUCCACAAGAUUUUACUCAUUAUUCACAACAUGUCGAAUUUCGACAUUCAAACUGUUUAAUUUUGAUCGUGAAUUUUGUCGAACUUUUUUUAAAAUAGGUAAAAAGUAAUAUUUUCUCUUAUGGCGUCAUGUUCGGGUCAGCUUGCUUGCACAUGCGUAAUUCCACGAGCUUUUACUCAUUAUUCGAAACACGUCAAAUUUCGAGAUUCAAACAGUUUAAUUUUGAUCGUGAAUUUUUUCUAUCACUUUUUUAAAACAGGUCAAAAAGAAGUAUUGUCUUUUAAUGAUGGUGGUGUUGAGGCCAGUUUGCAUGCACUUGGUUAAUUCCGCAAGAUAUCUGCUACCUCCCAUGAGGUACAUCAUUUAUGCUAUGCAAUUUCACUCAUAUCUGCAGCAUUUUGAAUUUCGAGAUUCAAACAAUUUAAUUUUGAUUGUGAAAUUUGUCUCUCACUUUUUUAAAACAGGUAAAAAGUAGUAUUUUUUUUCUUAAUGACUGUGAUGUUCGGGUCAACUUAUGUGCACCUGAUUAAUUCCAUGAGAUAUCUGCUAUUUCCCUCGAGGUUUUAUGAUAUGUUGUUUCACUCAUAUCUGCAGCUUUUUGAGUUUCUAGAUUCAGUUGUUUCACUCAUAUCUGCAGCUUUUUGAGUUUCUAGAUUCAAACAGUUUAAUUUUGAUCGUGAAUUUUGUCUGUCACUUUUUUAAGACAAGUAAAAAGUAGUUUUUUUUGUUUUAAUGACUGUGAUGUUCGGGCCAACUUUUAUGCGCCUGAUUAAUUUCAUUAGUUCCAUGAGAUACCUGCUACCUCCCACGAUGUACAUAAUUUAUACUAUGCAAUUUCACUCCUUAUUCGCAAUAUGUUGAAUUUCGAGAUUCAAAUAGUUUAAUUUUGAUCGUGAAUUUUGUUUAUUACUUUUAAACAAGUGAAAAGUAGUAGUAUUUUCUUUAGUGACUGUGAUGUUCGGCUCAACUUGUAUGCACUUGCUUAAUUCCACGAGAUUUUACUCAUUAUUCGCAACAUGUCGAAUUUCGAGAUUCAAACAAUUUAAUUUCUGUAUAAAUAUGCUCUCAUGUAUACUGCAAAAGGUAUUAAUCAUUGAGCAAAUGGAAAUUAAGCAAAGCAAAUAGAGGAAGAGAAAUAGCGAUAAUAUGAAGUGAAGAAAUUGCUAUUCAGUUUCUAGAAUCUUCUACAAAGGUGUACACAUGGCGGACACACAGUUCAUUGUUGCCGUUGACGCCGACUCUAAAUCAUACGGUACAUCAUUUUUGCUAUGCAAAUUUCACUCAAUAUUUGUAACAUUUUGAAUUUCGAGAAUCAAACAAUUUUGAUCGUAAAUUUUGUCAUAAAAUUUUCCUUCUGAAAUAAAAUUUACAUGUUUGAUUUACAUGUUUGAAAAAUCAGGUGAAAAGUACUUUCUUUUAAUGAUUGUGGUGUUCGGGUCAAGCUUGCGUGCACCUGACUAAUUCUAUGAAAUACCUAUUACCUCCCAUGAGUACCAGGUAACUACUCUAUCCUACAAUUUUGAAUUUCGAGAUUCAAACAGUUCAAUUCUGAUCGUGAAUUUUGUUAUGAUUUUUCUGAAAUAAAAUUUACAUGUUUGAAAAUCAGGCAAAAAGUAUUUUCCUUUAAUGAUCGUGGUGUUUGGGCCAAGCUUGCAUGCACCUGACUAAUUCAAUGAAUACGUAUUACUUCCCACGAGGUGCCAGGUUAGUACUCAAUCCUACGGUACAUCAUUUAUGCUAUGCAAUUUACUCAAUAUUCGCAAAAUGUGAAUUUUGAGAUACAACAACAGUCCCAGUGUAUUCCCACAAAGUGAGGUCUGGGGAGGGUAAAAUGUACGCUAUCCAUACCGGUACCUCCGAAGAAGUAGAGAGGCUGUUUCCAAUUUCGGUGAUUAGGAUGGAUUAAAUUUAUAAGUUUCUUUUGUUGAAUAGAAUAAGACCUUUGUUUAAUAGUUCAUUGUGGUAUUCCCUCCAUUUCAUUUUACUUGGCCCUCUUAGUAAAAAUUGUUGUUUCAAUUUACUUGUCAAAUUUUUGAAAUCAAGAGAAGUUUAUCAUUUUCUUCCAAUACUACCCUCCGAGACACUCUGAGCCUCAAGAAUUAAAGAGUUCCUUUAUUGUGAGUUUUGUCAUAGAAUUUUCUUAUAUAUAGAUUUACAUAUUUGAAAACAAGGUAAAAAGUAUUUCUUUUAUGACUAUGGUGUCCACGUCGGCUUGCAUGCACCUGACUAAUUCCAUGAAAUACCUACUACCUCCCACAACGUACCAGGUAACUCUAUCCUAUGGUAGAUCAUUUAUACUGUGCAAUUUUACUUGUAUUGACAAUAUGUUACUCCCUCUGUAUCAAUUUGUGUGUGAAGUUCGAAUUUUGAGAGUUAAACAGUUUAAUUUUGAUCGUGAAUUCGGCUAUGAAAUUUUUAUUACUUCAUGAAGAGGAUUAGAGUGGAACUUGGGAUAUUUGAAGGUUUUGUUGAAAACUUAGGACUUUGAACCACACAGCUUUUUGACAAAUUUUGAUGCUUAAUCCACAAUACGUUCGCCGUUUAGGAAAGAAUGACCUACUUUUCCUUUUAGUACGUUUAAAAAAGAAUGACCCUUUAUUUUUUGGACAAUACUUUGAUUCCAACUUUUCACGUGUCAUAUUUAAGAUCACAAGAUUAAAGAGCAUUUUGAUACAUUUGACUUAACUUUAAUCCAAGACAACAGGAAUCAAAAGUUUUUUUUAUUUUCUUAAACUUCGUGCCAAGUCAAAAUAGGUCCUUUUUUUGAAACAGAGGAACUAAUUUUCAUUGUGGUUUGUCUCUUUUGUUAGGAGAGGAGCAUGUGCUUAUUGUAUGCCAAAAGAUAAAAAGGGCGCAACUUUAUUUCUUAACGAAACUCAUCAAGUACUCGCCGUGUCUGUCCAUAACUUUGCCAUGGGACAUCCCAACCCAUCACUGGGGCCUCACAACAAGUAGGAUGUUGCUUCCAAGAUUUUUUUUACAUGGCUCUUAAUUUAUAGGCAAGAAGAAGGGAAGAGGAAGGGAGGCUGAGACCCAACCUUUGUUGUCUGGUUGGGUUCGACCCUCCUCCCCUAUCCAUUUACACACCUAUCGUGAUGUGGUAAUAACAGAAUAUCCUUGAGGAUAGUUUGUGUGGCUAACUGAUUUCUCGAUCGAGUGAUAGAAUGAUUAAUGUUAACUGAAAUUACAUGCUUCUCCACGGAGAAUAUCAAUUUCUGCCAUCUUUACCACUACUAUAUGUGUGUGAUUUGUCUCACUACAAUCUACAUCAUUCCACGCUUCUUAAAACUUGAUUCACCAUGCAAGAAAACAUGGUUAGGCAACAAGUCAGCAUUUUUGCCACCGAAUUGGUUAGAUUAAUCCUAUCCGGGCUUGCCUUAAUGUCCAAAGCUUCAGUUGUUACUUCAGUUGGAGUUUUUGUUGACAGUAAUCUAUGGGUUUAAUUCCAAAGAAGUGAGGAAAAGUCUAUGGGUUGCCUGGAAAGAGUAAAACAAGGAUGCUCUAGCUCAUGGCUAUCAACGGGGGACUUUAAUUAUGUGUUAAAUAUGGAUGAUAGAUAUGUUGGAAGUCCAGUUACUAUGGUUGAAGUCCUGGAUUUUCAGAUUUGUGUUGAUACAUGUGAACUGAUGGUACUGCCUGCUAAGGGGUGUAGAUACACUUGGAAUGACAAACAUGGUGCGAAUAGGGUGUUUUCAAAAAUAGAUUGGGUGCUAGUGAAUCAUGAUUGGAUGAUUCACAUGCCCAGUUACUAUGCUAGUGAUCAUUGCCCAGUCAAGGUGGAAUUACUGGAAGGUAGAAGCUAUAAAAGGAAAUCAUCUAGCUAUUGUAAUGUCUGGGCCACACAUUCUAGUUUCAUGGAUAGGGUGAGGGAUAUUUGGAGUAGACCUGUACAGGGUCACACUAUGUGGCAAGUGGUUAAAAAGUUAAAAAUAUUAAAGGAUAAGCUGAAGACUAUGCAUAAGCAAUAUUUCUGGGAUGUAGUGGAACAAGAAGAGGGGGAUAGGAGGGACUUGAAGCAAGUGCAACAGGAUUUACAUAUGCAGCCUGGUAAUCGGGAUUUGCUGGAAAAAGAGAGAUCUACUUGAAGUAUAGAAGGUCAUCUUAUUUAGCUGAAUUGUGGCUGCAACAGAGGAGUAAAGUGAAUUGGAUACAACUAGGUGAUGAUAAUACUCAAUAUUUUUAUGCAGUGAUAAAGCAUAGGAAACUGCAACAUGCCAUCACUCAAUUGCUAGAUAGGAAAAAUGUGGUGCAGCAUGAGCCGGAGGAGAUUGCAAAGAUUUUAGUUGAAUUCUAUCAAGACUUACUGGGCAAAAGAGAGGUAAAUGGUAGCAUUGUAGAGCAGAAAUAUAUAAAGAAUGGGUAUAUUUGUCUGUGGCAGAUCAAAUAGUACUGGUGAAACCUUAUACAAGUAAGGAUGUUAAACAUGCCAUGUUUAGCAUAGAUGGGAAUAAAAGUGCAGGUCCUGAUGGUUACAGUAGUGAUUUUUUCAAAAAAGCUAGGGAAGUAGUAGGUGAUGAUGUUACUAAGGCAGUACUUGAAUACUUGGAGAAUGAGAGAUUGCUUAAGCAGAUUAAUGAUACCAUUAUCUCACUUAUUCCUAAGGUGGAGUGCCCACAGCUAGCUAGCCAGUUCAGACCUAUCUCCUGCUGUAAUGUAUAGUACAAAUGCAUCUCCAAAAUCUUAUGUGUCAGAUUGAGGAAAACAUUGUCUUUGUUGGUUGCUGGGAAUCAGGCUGCAUUUGUGGAGGGAAGGUCUUUGAUACACAAUGUCCUCAUAUGUCAUGACUUAAUGAGACACUACAAGAGAAAGACAUCUCCUAGAUGUCUCAUUAAGAUAGAUUUAAGGAAAGCAUACGACAUGGUAAGUUGGGAAUUUGUGGAGGAAGCUUUGAGAGAGUAUGGGUUUUCAAUACCUAUGUAAAAUUGAUAAUGUGUUGCAUUACUACCACUGUUUUCAUUUAAGGUAAAUGAAGAAGUAUGUGGAUACUUUGAGGGGAAGAGGGGUUUUUGAGGCAAGGGGAUCCAAUUUCCCCUUUGAUCUUUGUAUUGGUUAUGGAGUAUUUGACAAGAACUUUGAACAAAGUUAGCAAGCAUCCGGACUUCACCUUUCACUCAAUGUGUCAGGCACUCAAAUUAUCCCACUUAAUAUUUGUGGAUGACUUAAUGAUCUUUUGUUCAGGUGAUCUUAAGUCCAUUAGGAGGGUCCUGGAGGCUAUGCACCAUUUUAGUAGUGUAACUGGACUUCAUGCUAAUGUGAAGAAAAGUAAUAUCUUUCUAGCCGCUAUGAAUGAAGUGCAGAAGGAGGAAAUUUUAACUUAGACUUUUCAUUAGGAACUCUGCCUAUUAGGUAUUUGAGACUACCAUUAUUUUCCAAAUAAUGGAACAAAAUGGAUUGUCAUCAACUGGAGAAGAAGAUUACAUUGAGGAUAAAAACUGCUUACUCUAAACAUCUUUCUUAUGCUGGGUGGCUGCAAAUAAUCAAUGCUGUGUUUUUCUCCAUAUACAAUUUUUGGGGGUCUGUUUUUAUACUGACACAGAGUGUACUCAAAGAAGUGGACAAGAGAUGUAGGGAUUAUCUUUUGGGGAGUACGGAGGAGCAUAAGAGGACUGUCUUGGUGGCUUGGGACAAGGAGUGUGCGUCUAAGAGGUAUGGUGGAUUGAAUAUUAAAAACUAUAGAACAUGGAACAUUGUUGCUGUGGGAAAAUUACUAUGGCAAAUAGCUGGGAAACUAGAUUCUUUAUGGAUCAGGUGGACCCAUGGGAUAUAUAUGAAGAAUGGAGAAUAGAUAUGGGCUCACCAAACACCAGCUGACUGCAGUUGGUAUCGGAAGAAAUUGACUGCACUAAGGCCCCUCAUGAAUCAGUGGUAUCAGGGGACACACAGUACAUGCUUACACAUAAUGGGAGAUACUCUUUCACCAGGAGUUAUAAUGCUUUGCUGGGAACAGAAGUGAGACUGCAGGAAGCUGAGCUGAUAUGGACUAGAUUGAUGCAACCUAAGCAUAGGUUUAUUUUGUGGCUCGCCAAUCAGGACAAAUUGCUUACAAAAGAGAGGACGCAGAGGCUGCAGAUUUAACAUGUUGCUUGUGUGAUGUAGGUGUUGUGGAAUCUCAACUCCAUCUGUUUGCUACUUGUACCUGGGCAGUCGAGGUAAGGAAAAAUAUGUGUACUUGGUCAGGCCUGCCUUUACAACAGUUAGGAGUUAAACCACACAUGACUUGGAUACAGAGGAAGCAUUGGCCAAAGAUCAAGAAGGAGCUAGUGACUGUCUUAUGGGGUGCCAUGAUUUAUAAUCUUUGCCAUGCCAGGAACUGGAAAUUGUAUAGAAAUACCACUGUUAGCUGUAGUUGUGUUACAGAACAGAUCCAGAAGGAUAUGAGGAAUAGAUUGGGAGGCAUGAAAAAUUCAAAGAGAAAUUAUAAGUAUAGGGAUCUAAUUCAUAGAAUCUGUGGAUAGUGGUUGUUUGCUCUGUAGAUGAUGCGAGAAAAACUUAUGUGAGCUUUAAGACACUAAGAUCAUCUCUUACAAGAACAAUUGCAAAAAAGAAAAAAGAGAGAACGAAAAGAGAUCAAAAAGGACAUAAACAUCUCAAAAGAAGGGAAGAAAGUUAUUAAGCUAUGGGAUACUAUAACUAAAGUAUAACUGUUAUAGAAGGUAAUCAAACAGGCCAGAUUAUAUCUUUCAGGUCCACAAAUAUGUGAGGCCAAUAAAAAUCAAUUCACUAAAAUUAAUCAUCAACGCGACUCAAUUUAGUAACACACCCAACCAAAAAGGACAUAAGCUUAAUUGCAUUUAUAACGAUAAAAUUAAUGCCAGAUCAAUUAAUUAAUCAGUCAAGAGAAAACGAUCCACACAAACAUACAUCAGAUGAAAUAAAGGGGCAUAUGUGGAUGUGAAUGAGUACCAUAUCUUUUUUCGAGAUAAUCAGAAAUAAUUGUUUGCCAGUAAGGUCCCAUUGCAGUAGUGCCUUCAACGGUAAUGAUUAGUUGUUUUCUCGUCAUGUGUGCUAAAUAUUUUGCAGGUUGAUUGUUGUUAUGCAUUUAUGAUUCUAUUUAUUGUAUUUCAUACAAGUUCAGGGAUAGGGAUGGGAUUGCGAAUAUAAUUUUGUUAGAUUUAAGAUGGACCUCUACAAGACUAGCCCAAUCCAUGUUCUUCAAACCCAAAGGUCAGUUAGAGUUUGUUGGAUGCUACUUCACCCUAAACUUUAACUCACAAUCUCUAGCCUCUAACAAUCUCUAAUAGACCUUAGGAUUUGAAGAACAUGGUUUGGGAUCUUCUUAUAGAUGCCCAUCUUAAACCCAGUAAAAUUAUGAUUUCGACAAGUGCCCAUACUUAAAUGCUUGUCGGAGUAUAGGUUUGACGAAACUCAAAGGCAAAACUUGAAGUACACAAAAACAGAGCUUCCAUCCUUCUACUUAUGUGGCUUAGUGAAGAAUUGCAUUGUUCGUCUAUCCUUUGCAUUUGUGGCUUUGUGAGAAACAACUUGUAUAGAUAACCAAAGAUGUCGUCCUCCAGAGAUUGCCUCCAUUGUUGAAGAUUUUCAUUUCUUAGGUGUCAAUGUUGUUGAUCUUCCUCAAGGCGACCAUAGCAACUGACUUCACUUUUUGCAGAUCUAAUGUAUGAUAGAAGAAAUGAAGGACACAUUUGGUCUCAUCUUCUGUGCCAAAUUUGUUAGCAAAAAAUAUUUCAAGUCAUGAAAAUUAACAACAUUCACAAACAAAGAAAAUAUAAACAUAGGGCAGCUCGGUGCACUACUACAAGAGUCUAUUGUCGUAGCCUGCCUUACCUUCCAUUUCAGUUAGAGACUGUUUUCAAGUUUUGAACCUGUGACCUCCUGUUCACAUGGCAACAACUUUACUCGUUACUCCAAGGCUCCCCUUCACAAACAAACAAAAUAUGAAGAAAAAUAAUUUUAUUCACGACUCUUUAUGAGUACAAUUUUAUAUAUUACCUUAUUUUUCUCUCCUAAUUUUUUCUCCCAGAUACGAGAAUAUUUCAAGUAAUGAAAAUUAACAACAUUCACAAACAAACAAAAUAUGAAGAAAAAUAAUUUUAUUUAUUACUCUUGUAAGUCCAAUUUUAUGUAUUUCCUAGAUUUUUCUCUCCUAAUUUUUUUCUCCCUGAUACGAGGGCCAUUAGUAGCAUAUUUAUUAAAUAUAAGAUGAUUUAAACCCCCUUGAGGUAGUUGAUCUCCAAGAAUGUUGAACAAUACUAAGUUGAUCUUGAGGAAGAACGUGUUCCUUGAUCGCUUUGAUGCCUCUUUGUAAAUAUCUAGGAGUUAAUAGAAUUUUCAGGAUGCCUCCGAUAUGGAAUAUAUAAUCUUUAUAGGUGUAACUUAGAGUUUAGAGUGAAAUAGCCUCCAACAAACUCUAACGAACCUUUUAGUUUGAAGAACCUAGAUUGGGCUAGUUUUGUAGAGGCCCAUCUUAAAUCCAACAAAACUACAUUUUCAAUCCCAACCUUAUUAUCACCGAACUUGUAUACUAUAUAAUAAAUCGAAUCAUAAGCACAAAACAACAAUCAACCUGCAAAAUCUUUAGCACACAUGACGGGAAAACAACUAAUCGUUGCCGUUGAAGGCACCGCUGCAAUGGGACCUUACUGGCAAACAAUUAUGUCCGAUUAUCUCGGAAAAAUGAUACGGUACUCAUUUGCAUCCACAUACGCCCCCUAUAUUUCAUGUGAUGUAUGUUUAUGUUGAUCGUUUUCUCUUGAUUGAUUAAUUAAUUGAUCUGUUAAUUUCAUUGUUAUAAAUGCAAUUAACCUUAUUUCCUUUUUGGUUUGGUGUGUUACUGAAAUUGAGUUGCGUUGAUGAUUAAUUUUAGUGAAAUUGAUUUUUAUUGGCUUGACAUAUUUGUGGACCUAAAAGUUAUAAUCUGGCCUGGUUGAUUACCUUCUAUAACAAUUAUACUUUAGUUAUAGUAUCCAAUAGCUUAAUAACUUCCUUUCCUUGUUUUGAGAUGUUUAUGUCUUUUUUGAUCUCUUUUCGUUCUCUUUUUUUUUUUUGCAUGGGAUGAUCUUAGUGUCUUAAAACUCACAUAAGUUUUUCUCGCAUCAUCUAUAGAGCAAACAAUUAUUGUCUAUCCGGCUCCAAGGUUCUUUUUGUUUCACUUUAGUAAUUUUAGAUAGAGGAGUCAACUGAUUAGCUUUAGCUUGAAUGACUAAUGAAAAUGCUACUGGUUUAGGGUUCUUCAAAUUCGUUGUUUGCUUUUGUUUAUCAAUCAAACCAGUUUCUAGAAGGUGUUGUAGAAAUUUUCAUAGGCGUAUCCCAUUGAGAGAAUGGGAUUGUUCCAAAAUACUCUCAUGAUGAUUGAACACUAAAUUGACUGCUCUACAACAUCAACAGUCGUGGUGCUUCUUAACUGUUCAAAGAUUUGCUUCUCCUAGAUCUUUUAUUUUGAAAUCGUUUUUCUCUAGAUAGCGUGGUUGUUUGAUUUCCUUAACUGUCCGGUUCUAGAACUUAGAAGAAGACAACCAAGAGUGUUGUCAUCCACCCAAUCACCAACCCAAAAAAACUUAAGUUUCCAAGUGUUAAAUAUUUCUUUUGUACUGUUGUGGUGGUAGCAUUUUUUUACUCUCUCUCUCUAACGUUCACUAAACCCACGACCACUGCCCCUUGACCGGCUUACGCUGGCGACGGCGUCGGAGCGCCAGUAACAAGCAAGGAUAACUCCCACUCCCCCCCUUCUCUCUCCCAGUUCUCUCUACCCUCUUUUCUCUCCCGUUUCCUGUCCCCCUCCGUCGUUCGAACCACUCGUGAUUUCGCCGGCAGUCAAGGUCGCCGGCGGCUCGACUCCAGCGACACAGGCAGCGCGCAGCUCCGGUCACAAGCGAUCAAUCCGGCGGGUCCAUCUGACGGUACUUCUGGUUCCGACUAGAUCGUUCCCACAACUUCGGAUUCCGGAGGCACUCCGGCGAAGCUCCAGCCAAUUAUCCCGGCGACCAGUUUCGGCAUCAGUUUGCUGGGACCCAACAUAGCACGCAAGAAAAGAGGAUUUGGUCUACGAGUGUAACCCGGUGACUUCUAACCUUUGCUAUUUCAUUCUUCGUAUAAUUUCUAGUAUUAUCUCCUGUUUCUUGACUUGCGCUUAAUUUGUUGGGAUUGUUUUUUGUCUUAUAUUUCCGGUUUAUUCCAUUGAUCGACUUUGUUAUAAGCGAUGGGUUUGACUUUUUCUUUAUUAUUACAUAUUAUAUACUGUGCUUGUGUUUUCUAUUUCCUGCUAUUGCUUGAUUACCGUCGUUGUGUGUUUUUUCUGGGAGUUGUGGCUAUGGGCAUUGAUGGUAGGAUAGGGUCAUGUCCGAGGGGGUUGGGGCGGGGGCCUGUGUUGGGGGUGGGGGAGAGGGGGUUAGGCCCAAUGUUAGGGGAGGUAGAAGUAGACGGGUUGCUAGAGUUCAUAGGCUGCGGGUUGGGUCUUGGAAUAUAGGACUCUGCAGGGUAAGUCUAUAGAGCUAGUGAAGAUUCUUAGAAAAAGGAGGAUCAAUAUUGCGUGUGUGCAGGAGACUAAGUGGGUAGGGUCUAAGGCUAGGGAUGUGGAUGGUUACAAGCUGUGGUACUCUGGUAACGAGAGGCGGAGGAAUGGAGUUGGCAUCUUAGUAGAUGAAGAGCUUAGAGGGCAGGUAGUGGAGGUUAAGAGGAUCAGCGAUAAGUUGAUGACUGUUAAGUUGAUCAUUGGGGGUCAACUCUGAUCGUGUGUAGUGUUUAUGCACCGCAAGUGGGCUUGGAUGGGGAGGAGAAGAUGCGAUUUUGGGAGGCGUUGGAUGAGGUGGUGAGAGAAGUGCCUAGUUCUGAGAAGAUUGUUGUAGCAGGGGAUUUCAAUGGGCAUAUUGGGGUGUUACCGGGAUGCUUUGGCGAUGUCCAUGGAGGUUUUGGUUUUGGGGUGAGAAAUGAGGAGGGAACUGCUCUGUUGGAUUUUGUGAGGUCCUUUGGGUUGGUAGUGGUGAAUUCGAGCUUCCCGAAGAAGGACGAGCACCUGAUCACCUUUCGAAGCGCGAUAGCCAAGACGCAAAUUGACUUUUUGUUGCUUAGGAAAGGAGAUAGGGUGUUGUGUAAGGACUGUAAAGUCAUCCCGCGUGAGAAUCUUUCAACCCAGCAUAGGCUCUUGGUGAUGGACUUAGGUAUUUAGAAAGAUAAGAAGAGAAGGGGUGAGGAGGGUAGACCUAGAAUUAAGUGGGGCGGCCUUACGCCGGCGAAUAUGAGGGAGAUAAGAGAGAAGGUGGCAGGAAUGGGGGUGUGGGAGUGCAGGGGGGACGUGGAUGGUAUGCGGGAUAAGGUGGCUAGGUGCAUCAAGGAGACUGCUAGUGAGGUGUUGGGUAUUUCAAGGGGCUGUGCCGGCCAUCGUCGGGGGAUUGGUGGUGGAAUGAAGAAGUUAAGAAGAAAGUGGAGACUAAGAAGAGGGCGUAUGCUAAGUUGGGUGAGAGUAGGGAUGAAGAUGAGAAAUGGGCUAAUAGGGAGGAGUACAAGAUAGCUAGGAAGGAGGCUAAGUUAGCAGUCACGGCGGCUAAGAUGGCAGCGUUCGAGAGCUUGUAUGUGGGGUUAGAGGAGAAAGAAGGGGAAAAAGGGUUGUUUAGGCUUGCUAAGGCUAGGGAGAGGAAGGGUCUUGACCUCGACCAGGUGAAAUGCAUUAAGGGGGAGGAUGGUAGAGUAUUGGUAGAGGAUGGUCACAUUAAGAAGAGAUGGCAGUCGUACUUCGAUAGGUUAUUGAAUGAAGAAGGGGAUAGAGUUAUUGUUUUAGGGGAGCUGGAGCACGCAAAGGAGUAUCGUGAUUUUAGUUAUUGUAGACGUUUUAAGGUAGAAGAGGUCAGAGAUGCUAUUCGCAGGAUGCGUAGGGGUAGGGCGAC